rnacentral:lncRNA from 1 species
UUUUUUUUUGUUAUUGUUGAGACAGAGCAGGUUUUCAACUUGGAUGUGGCCCAUCUAGCCCAGGCUUCUAUUUUACGUUCACCACAUGACCAGCCCAGCUAUUUUUUCUUUGUGAAAAUGAGCCCAGUUUAUUUUUUCUGAAGAAUACCCAAUCCAGGCCUACUUCUUUUUCUAUGCCCUGCUAGGCUGCAACUCUUUCAAGACGGCUGCAAAUCUUAAAAGUAAUAUGAAAUGGGCUGUAAAUAUAUAAAAACACAUGACAAAUUAGCAAUUACUUUCAAAUUUCUAAUUUUUUCGCAUUUUCAGAUUUCAAUUCAGUGGGCUUUAACCUAAUUUAAAUAUAUCUUCAAAGUACUUUAAAUUUGGCUCAACAUUUUGGUAUUAAAAAUAGUUUGGACCCCACCGAAAUAUGUGAAAUUUCGUUUAAAUUUUUAACCCUGGCCCUGGCCAACAAAAAACGGACUACAAUAAAUUGCAUAAGAAGUUGCAAUGAGUUGUAAAUUAUUUUAAAAAUAGGGAAUGGUCCGACUUGUGGACCUAUUAAGUUGACGCAUAUGCAAGAUUUUUUUUACUUAUUAUAUACGUCAACAAACAAUUCUAGCAGACAUGGUCGUUGGAUGUCAAUCCAACGGCCGUCAUGCUUCUUCAAUCUCUGAUCUCCUUACUCCAGCCGCCAAACCCAGCCCCGGCGGGAUCGCCUGCUCCCGCCUCCUGUGGCCGGCUGUGCUGCCCCACAGGCCUCACCACCCCCUACUACUCCCACCGCUGGCUAGGUCGUCCCUCUACUCACCCACAUCCCUCCACUGUUGUGGCUUCGCGGCCUCCGGGCCAUUCCCUUCCUGGGUCUGGCCAUCGUUCAUUGUGUUGGUGUUCUUGGCAUGGCGUGGUCAACGUUGUCAACAAACGACAACAUCGGAAGAGGGAUGUACAUGGAGAGGCUGACAGUUGGGACCCACAUGGUCCAUGGCCGCACGCAAGCAAGUACCUCCUUAUUGCACCAAAAAGAAUGAAUCCUCCCCAUGACAGUUGGGACCCACCAGCUAUAUCUUAGCAUAGAAGGAAGUGCCUCCUUAUUAAGCGAAAAAUAACGAGUGCUCCCCAUGACAGCUGGGGCCCACCAGAUUUGGAGGGUGGCUUGUGGGCCUACUAAGUUGACGCGUACGCAAGGCUUUGUCAACUUAGUCAACAAACGAUUCUAACACCAGUGACCGUUGAAUUGUUAACAUCGAACUGUCGUCCUACUUCAACCUCUGACUUUCUUGCUCCAGCCGUCCAAACCACCGCGUGCUCCUGCCUCCCGUGGCCGGUUGUGCUGCCGCGCAGGCCUCACCGCCCCCUACUACUCCCACCGCUGGCCAGGCCAUCCCUCUACUAACGCACACCCCAUGUUAUACUGCGGCGAUGGCAGCCUCACACCGCAGCCAAACCAAUCAACCCUCAUACCGCCCUCCGUGUGUUCCCCGGCUCCGGGUCGUUCCCUUCCUAGUCACGCCGUCGUCCACCACCUUAAUGCUCUCGGACGGUAUGGCGUCGUCAACGCGGUCAACGAAUGACAGCCAUCAGAAGAGGACCGUACGUGGAGAGGCUGACAGCUGGCUCCAUGGCCGCACGCAAGGAAGUGCCUCCUUAUUACGCGUAAACUAAUGAUUCCUCCACCUGACAGCUCAGACCCACCAGAAGGGCCUCUGUAUUUCGCGAAAAAAAAUGUUCCCCCUGGCAGCUGGGACCCACCGGCUUUAUCUUCACAUGGAAGGAGGUGCCUUCUUACCCCCUGACAGCUAGGACCCACCAGGUUAAAGUGAAGGUAGCGUUAUCUGUCUGGCCGCGAACGUGUACGUACAUAGCGGUCGAUCUGUCUCUCUGCAGCGACAUACCGUGGCCGAGUAAGGAGCAACACAUGUUGAAGUACAGGCGCCGACGUAGCAUGUCACGCAGUCCCGUCUAUAUCAUGUACACGUACGUACAGCCACACUGCAAGAUAGUAAAUAUGGCUACGUACGUACAUACAGGCGGGGUCUCUAACGCGUACGGCGAUGUCGUCCUGUUCAUCAGCAGCCAACCGGCUGGGUCAGAACGGAGUAAAUAGCGUCGCGUGCUCAUUAGGAGCCAACCGGCUUGGACAGAACAGCCAAAACGAGCUCUGGCAUACCGCAGAACGGAGGAAACGACUUCUCUUCGACCGCGUACGGUCGAAACGGGGUCCUGCUCAUCGGGAAGGGUCUGGCAUACCGCAAAACAGAGGAAACAGACUUCUGUUCGAGUGCCUACGGUCGAAAUGGGGUCAUGUUGAUCGGGAGGGGUGUGGCGUACCGCAAAACGGAGGAAACGGACUUGUGUUGGAGCGCCUACGGUCGAAACGGGGUCCUGUUCAUCGGAAGGGGUGUGGCGUACUGCAAAACGGGACUCCACAGGCUACUGUUCAACCACCAUCUACUGCCUUGCUCCAGCCUCCACGGGUUAUUGUUCAUCCACCGUCGACUUCCUCGAGCCUCCACCUGCUACUUUUCAUCCACCGUCGACUUCCUCCUACCUUCACCAGCUACUGUUCAUCCACGGGGUCCUGUUCAUCUAGCCUCCACCGGCUACUGUUCAACCAGCCCUCCACGGGGUCUUGUUCAUCCACCACCAACUGGCUUGGGUGUGUGUGGCGGCCUCCUCGAUCGGGGUCCUGUUCAUCCAGCGGCAACGGCCUCUACUACCACGGGGUCCUGUUAAUCCAACCCCCACCGGGAGGAAAUGCUCAUCCAAGCCCCAACAAUGGUCAUUGUUCAUCAAGAGGCAGGAGGUUCGAUCGGCUUCAAUUAGCAGCAGUAGCGAAGGAAUCGCUCGGGUUCAGUUAACAGCCAAGGGAUCGAUCGCUCGGGUUUAGUAACGUAGACAGUGCAAUCGCUUGGGUUCAGUAAGCGAACGCCUCACUCGGGUUCAGUUAGGCCCAAUGCCUCGCACACAUGCGCAUACGUGUAUGAGAGAAACGUGCAAACCUCCGUGCAUCGCUCGGCCCCGACCACCCACCGUAACCGGGAACUCCCCGAUAUUUUCCUCUCCCUCGCUUCUACCACGACUUUUUCCAUCAUGGACGGCCCAAAGAAUGUCAUGCCGGUGCGUCCCCGACUCGCCCAGGAUGAAAAGCCCAUUUUCUGUCAUGGUUUUUUGUCAUAGAAGUAGGAUCCCACCACAUCUAGCUAUGAUGAUAUGUGGUUCUGUCACAAUUAUCGUCAUAGAAGUGUCAUAAGCAUGACAGAAAAAAAAUUCGUUCGACCCAAAAUGUCACGGAUGUGUCUUUUUUUGUAGUAAUUACUAGGUAUAUUGUGAUGCUUCUCGUCAAGGACUCGGAGGAGUGAUCAUGUAGGAAGGAAAAGUUGUAGCUUAUACCUCCAGACAGCUACGGCCCCACGAGAUGAAUUCUGCCACACACGAUUUGGAGUUAGCAGCCGUAGUGCACGCACUCAAGACCUGGAGACAUUUCCUUAUCGAAAACAGUUGUGAUGUUUACACGGACCAUAAGAGCUUGAAGUACAUUUUCACGCAGAAGGGGUUGAACCUCGGGCAGAGGAGAUGGCAAGAGUUGAUCAAGGAUUAUGAUAUGAGAUUGCAUUAUCACCCAGGGAAGGCAAAUGUUGUAGCAGAUGCCUUGAGCCGUAACAGCUAUGCGAACACCCUCAUAGCUGGAGGAUUACCUCAGGAGUUAGCCGACGAUCUCAGAGAUCUCCGAAUGGAGAUAGUCUUACUGAUACACACACUGCCGCUACACCCAUGGAGCUCCAUCUCCAAUUGCGCCCUAGUGAUGGUACUCCUCUUGAGGGAUACCACUCGCUAUCGUCAUCUUGUAGGCAGCCUUGCCCAUUGUCUUGUUUUGGCUUGGAAGUCUCCUCAAAAUAAGGCAAGUGAGUCAACGAUCUCUGUAAGAGGUUGCCACCCUAGAUAUUUAGUCUACUUUGACCAAAAGAAUUCGCGAAGCCCAGAAGACGGACAAGGAAAUUGCAGAGAUAAAGGAAAGGAUGAGUAGCGGAAAGCCCAAAGGUUUUUGUGAGGAUGAACACAGAACUUUAUGGCUUGAGGAUCGCAUCUAUGUGCCUAAUGAUCCAGAGAAUCUGGGAGUUAAUUUUGCAAGAAGCCCAUGAUUCAUCAUACUCGAUACACCCAGGCACCACUAAGAUGUAUCUCGACUUGAAGGAAAGUUUCUGGUGGACAGGUACUGUCACGCCCAAGAUGCGACACUAUCCUAAAGGAACUCGAAGGUCCCACCAAGGAUAGAAGCGCAUCUUGAAGACGCUUUUGCAAGGUGGAUAUCAUUACAUCAACAUUACAUAAUAGAAGGGGAUACAUACAAGGCAUACAAAUGCCGCAAGAAUACAUCAAUACAUCAUACAUAAGAUCAACAUCCGACUACGGAUGAAACACAAGCAUAAGCUCAAACGACAUCCACCCUGCUAGCCCAGGCUGCCGACCUGGAACCUAUCCCCUGAUCAAAGAAGAAGAAGCAGAAGAAGAACUCCAAAACAAAUAGCAUCGCUCUCGCGUCAUGAUCAUCGCAUAACCUGUACCUGCAACUGGUGUUGUAGUAAUCUGUGAGCCACGAGGACUCAGCAAUCCCAUUACCAUGGGUAUCAAGACUAGCAAAGCUUAAAGGGGUGUGGAAAGGAUAAGUGGUGAGGUUGCAACAGCGACUAAGCAUGUAUGGUGGCUAACAUACGCAAAUAAGAGCGAGAAGAGAAGCAACGGAACGGUCGUGAACUAGUAAUGAUCAAGAAGUGAUCCUGAACUCCUACUUACGUCAAACAUAACCCAGAAACCGUGUUCACUUCCUGGACUCCGCCGAGAAGAGACCAUCAUAGCUACACACGCGGUUGAUGCGUUUUAAUUAAGUCAAGUGUCAAGUUCUCUACAACCGGAUAUUAACAAAUUCCCAUCUGCCACAUAACCGCGGGCAUGGCUUUCGAAAGAUAAUACCCUGCAGGGGUGUCCCAACUUAGCCCAUUAUAAGCUCUCACGGUCAACGAAGGAUAUUCCUUCUCCCGGGAAGACCCGAUCAGUCUCGAAAUCCCGGUUACAAGACAUUUUGACAAUGGUAAAACAAGACCAGCAAAGCCGCCCGAAUGUGCCGACAAAUCCUGAUAGGAGCUGCACAUAUCUCGUUCUCAGGGCACACCGGAUUAUCCAAGCUUCCGGUAGGCCAGCCCAGAGUUGCCCCUGGUGGCCACCGGCGACUGACAGGUUGGACCAACACUCAAAGGAGCACUGGCCCGGGGGGUAAAUAAAGAUGACCCUCGAGAGCGCGACUCCCAAGGGAAAAAAAGGCUAGGUGAGGCACAUGUAAAACCAAGGUUGGGCCUUGCUGGAAGAGUUUUAUUCAAAGCAAACUGUCAAGGGGGUCCCAUAAAUCACCCAACCGCGUAAGGGACACAAAAUCAAGGAACAUAACACCGGUAUGACGGAAACUAGGGCGGCAAGAGUGGAACAAAACACCAGGCAUAAGGCCGAGCCUUCCACCCUUUACCAAGUAUAUAGAUGCAUUCAUUAAAUAAGAGAUAUUGUGAUAUCCCAACAUAAACAUAAUCCAACAUGGAGCAAUCUUCAUCUGCACCUGCAACUAGCAACGCUAUAAGAGGGGCUGAGCAAAGCAGUAACAUAGCCAAACAACGGUUUGCUAGGAACGGUGACAAAGGUUAGAGGUGGUUUCAUGGCAAUUUGGGCGACUGAAAGAGCAAGUGAAUAGGUAGCGCAGCAAAGUGAUAGAACGAAGCAACUAGCAUAGCAAUGAUAGUAAUGAGAUCCAAAGUGACAGUCAUCUUGCCUGAAAUCACGCUAGGAAGAAGAACGAGUCCAUGAAGAAGAUGAAGCCACGAAGACGAACGGAUUCUCACGAUCGCAACGACACGGGAACUAACAAGAAGAAGCACACACCAUGGUAAACACACCACACAUGAACAAGGCAUGAUGCUCAACCAAAUAUGAUGCAUGACAAGGCUACUUGAAGCUACUCAUGCCAAGAGAUGAUGCAUACAAGAGCAACACAUCAAAGCAAGUUUAAAUGAGGCCGAAAACAACAUAGAACAAAUCCGGUAAGUCCUCAUAUGCAAAUUUCGAAAUUGGUCCAGAUCUGAAUAAACAUUAUGUUCAAGUUGUUAAACAGCAAACUAAGAUGCACCAAAAUGAUCUACACGAAAUUCUAGUCAAGUUCCAUAUAAAGUUCAUUAGAUUCGGAGCUACGGCCUAAAAGAUACGAGCAAAACAAGUUAAACAUGGCAUUGAUGCAAAAUGCAUACAAACAUCAAGCAAACACCUCAAAACAAGGAUGAAACAAUAUAAUAUGGAACUACAUGCAAAACUAAGCAAGUUUCAUAUAAAGCAUGCUCAAAACGGAGCAACGGUGCAACACAUACACUCCAAACAAGAUAUAACAACCAUCUGUCCAAAACAGCAACUAGUCAUAUUGCAAGCAUCAUAAAAAUAUGCUACAGCACCUCAACAUGAAACCAAAAGGCAUGAACAUGAUGUACAGGUAAAGCACAACAAAACAUGAACACUGAGGUAUCUCCAGAAAUCACUAGAACAUGCGCAAAAGGACAUGGCAAGAUUGCAAAUAAUAACAGAUUCACAGACUUAGCAGAAAUCACUGGACAUGGCAGAAAUAACAUCAGUUUGCAAAGUUUAGAGCUAUAAAACAACAUGCUCCAGGAACAUAUCAUAGCAAACAAAGGCAUGGCAUGAAUCUACUAAAUUUAUAGAACAAAAGUCCCUUACUGACAAUAAGCCAAAAAGGAUCAGAAGAUAUGAUGACACCUAUGUAAACAUAGCAAGUUUCGUUAACAGGUUUCAGACUUGGCAGAAAACAGAGCAUGGCAGAAACAGUAUCAUGAAGGCAUCUUGGUGAGCUUGAUUCACUCACCACAAAGCAAUGCAUGACAAAACAAGCAUACCUACAGCAAGAUGGCAUGUUUAUGAAGCUAACCAUGGCAAGAUAAAAUACAUUACAUGAAAGGAUCAACUACAACAAGCUUGGCACAAUUGAAUAACACGUAAACAAUCUGCCAGAAACAUUUUAUAGCAAAAGUAGAGCAAGAUUAAGACAUGCUAUGGCACUCCAUAAUUGCAAACAGGGGCAUGGAUGGAUAGAGCACAACUAUAUCUACAAAAUAUCCUUCUGAACAUCACCAAAAGGAGUAUGGAUCUCUCUGUAGACACAUGGAUACAUGGCAAUAAAAUAAUAGCAGCAACAGACAGUGAAAUUGCUAAGUCCCUGAAAUCAGAAACAUCCCGAAGCCUAGUUUGCAUGCUUGUGCUGGUCACCACAGAGAUCACAAAAAUAUAUAGCAUACACCUCUGUAAAGAUGGCAUGGGAUACAUCAAAACACAUGUAGAGCUCAUGCCCAUAAGAUGCACACGUCAAAUGCAACAAAAAUAACAAAUCCUCAAGUUCUGAUAAGUAACAGCAGUUAACAGUAUAUAGCACUCUUGCAUCAGAGAUUUGGGCAUCAAGAUGAACUCAAAUAAACAUGGCAUAAUGGAACAAAAUGGAGCGCAUCUCGAGGCGAACAUUUCGAUAUAUUACACGCACGAAACGGAGCAGUAUGCAGAGAGUUAUGAUGCGAUGAACAGGAUCAUAUAAUGUAGAAUCUUCGGGACGAGAGAAAUCAGAGGGGGAGAAGAAAGUCAACCGUCCAGAUCGGAUCGGGCUCGAGGACGCGGGGUCGGCCGGCUGCUCGCCGGAGUUGGGGAAGAGGAGGCGGCCGGAGGCGGAGGAGCUCGCCGAGACUCGGGGAGGGUCCGGAGGAGCCGAGGCGCGGUGGGAUCCGGCGAGACGCGGCGGGCGGCGGCGGCCACGCGCGCGGCNNNNNNNNNNNNNNNNNNNNNNNNNNNNNNNNNNNNNNNNNNNNNNNNNNNNNNNNNNNNNNNNNNNNNNNNNNNNNNNNNNNNNNNNNNNNNNNNNNNNNNNNNNNNNNNNNNNNNNNNNNNNNNNNNNNNNNNNNNNNNNNNNNNNNNNNNNNNNNNNNNNNNNNNNNNNNNNNNNNNNNNNNNNNNNNNNNNNNNNNNNNNNNNNNNNNNNNNNNNNNNNNNNNNNNNNNNNNNNNNNNNNNNNNNNNNNNNNNNNNNNNNNNNNNNNNNNNNNNNNNNNNNNNNNNNNNNNNNNNNNNNNNNNNNNNNNNNNNNNNNNNNNNNNNNNNNNNNNNNNNNNNNNNNNNNNNNNNNNNNNNNNNNNNNNNNNNNNNNNNNNNNNNNNNNNNNNNNNNNNNNNNNNNNNNNNNNNNNNNNNNNNNNNNNNNNNNNNNNNNNNNNNNNNNNNNNNNNNNNNNNNNNNNNNNNNNNNNNNNNNNNNNNNNNNNNNNNNNNNNNNNNNNNNNNNNNNNNNNNNNNNNNNNNNNNNNNNNNNNNNNNNNNNNNNNNNNNNNNNNNNNNNNNNNNNNNGCGGAGGGAGUAGGGCUAGGGUUUGGACCCGAAAAUGGAGGGGGAGGGGACGUUUUUAUAGCUAGAAGGAGUUAGGAGAGUCCAAAUGGGGAGCAGUUUUCGCCCACACGAUCGUGAUCGAACGACCGAAAGCAUGGAGAGGAUUUAGAUGGGCUAGUGGGCUGUGGUGGAGAGGUGCUGGGCUGCAAAGAGAGAGGGGUUUCGGGCUACGCGGUUAACCGUUGGGGCAUCAAACGACCUCCAAAUGGAACGAAAUUUGACGGGCGGUCUGUCGGUGCUAUACCAAGGCCACUCGGCAAAUACCGACCCAUUCCGAGAAGGUUUUCCUCCCGCUCAUGAAAAGAAAACAGAGGGGUGCAACGGGUGCGGCGAGAGUGUCGGAUCGUGAAACGGACAACGGGGAAAAGGACCGGAUGCAAGUUUUGAAAAACAAGAUGAUGCAAUGCAGAUGAUGACAUGGCAAAAUGCAACACGCAAGCAGAUGACAUGGCAACAGCGACGAAUAACUGGAGGACACCUGGCGCAUCGGAUCCGGGGCGUUACAAGUAUGAAGAAGGAUAUUGCCGAGUACAUAGCAGUAUGCGAUGUUUGUCAGCAAGUAAAGGUAGAACAUCAGAAGCUGGAAGGGUUAGUCCAACCUUUGCCGAUACCCAAGCGGAAAUGGGAAAAACUUGGGAUGGAUUUUAUCACAGGAUUACCCAGGACUCGUUCAGGUUACGAUUCCAUCUAGGUAGUGGUUGAUCGUUUGACCAAGGUAGCACAUUUCAUUCCCGUGAAGACCACAUAUACCAGUGCUAAGUUAGCCAAGAUAUACAUGACCAGGAUCAUAUGUCUGCAUGGAGUUCCGAGGAGUAUCUUCUUAGAUAGAAGAACGCAAUUUACCUCAAAUUUUUGGAAUCAGUUGCAUGAAACUUUGGGCACGAGGCUGGAGUUCAGUACAACUUUUCAUCCGCAGACAUAUGGACAGACCGAGAGAGUCAACCAGAUUCUGGAGGACAUGUUGGGAGCCUGUGCGCUAGACAAUGGAGCUAGCUGGGAUGAUAAUUUGCCCUAUGCAGACUUCUCGUACAACAACAGCUAUAAGACCAGUAUGAAGAUGGCCCCUUUCGAAGCUCUAUGCAGAAGGAUGUGUAGAACACCAUUGUUGUGGGAUGGUGUUGGAGACCGAAAACUUCUUCGUCCCGAUCUUAUCAGAGAUUCUGAAGAGAAGGUCAAGUUGAUUCAUGACAGACUCAAGAUAGCUCAAUCGAGGCGGAAGAGUUAUGCUAACACUAAACGCAAGGAGAUAACAUGCGAAGUGGGAGACCGAGCAUAUCUCCGUGUGUCUCCACUUUGAGGAAUCAAGAGGUACGGUGUUAAAGGAAAGUUAGCACCCAGGUUCAUAGGCCCAUACAAAAUCCUCGAAUGCAAAGGAGAAGUUGCGUAUAAGUUGGAAUUGCUAGAAGGACUUUCGGAGUUCACGAUGUCUUCCACGUUUCCCAGCUGAAGAAAUCCAUGUCGAGAUGGCUGAUAUUCCUUUGAGAGAUACAGUGCCCCUGGAGGCCAUACAACUUGACAGUGAUCUGACUUAUGAGGAGAAACCCGUCAGAACUCUCGAGACUGUGAACAGAGUUACCAGCAUCAAGAUCAUCAAGUUUUGCAAGGUUCUGUGGAGCCACCAUUCCGAGGAGGAAGCCACCUAGGAACGAGAAGAAGACCUCCGUCGAGACCAUCCGCACCUAUUUGCUAGCCAACCCGAAUCUCGACGGCAAGAUUCAUAUUAAGGUGGGUAGGUUUGUAACAUCCCAAAUUUCCAAUUUGGAAUGUUUUACAAUUAUUAGCUAAGCAUCUAUGCAUUUUGUUUGAAUUAAGUGGCAUUUGGAAAAUUCAGAGGCACUUGAGUUUUAUUUGAAUUUGGAUUCAAAUUGGCAUUUGAAAUUCAUUUCAAAAAUCCCUGACAAGUACUUGCUCAGAGGUAUGAGAGGAGCUAACAUGCAACUCCAAAAGGUCAGAAGAAAAUAAUGGCAAAAGUUUUGAGUUCAAAUUUGGUUUCAUUUGGAAUUUUCAAAAAAAUGUUUUAUUAAAGUUUUUAUUAUGCAUAAUAGUUCAUCUUUUAGGUUUUAUUUUUCUGGUCAUUUUGAUAUAUAUAUAUAUAUGUCCUAUAUAAAACUAUUUUUAUUUUCCCUAUUUCUUUUACUUUUCUCUCUCUCAAAUUCAAAAAAAUAAGAGAAAAACUCAGGCGCACCAGGCACCAGGCCCAACCACCCGAGCCACGGCCCACCUCACCCCGCAGCCUGCCCUGCCCCGCGCCGCACCCGAACUCCCUCCGGGUCGGACGCCCGACCCGUCGCCCGCUCCCCGCACCUGCUGACAGAGGGCCCCACCCUCAUCUCCUUCCUCCUGAAAGCCCCGCGCGCGUAUCUCCCUCGCACUCGACGUCGGUCGUGUCCGCACCUCUCUAAAACCCUAGCUAAAGCCUUCCCCUCGCGCAAGUACUAUGUCCUAUAUAUACCUCACGAUCUCCUCUAUCGAACCCCCCUAAAACCCCACGCCAACUCCUUCCGUAGCCAAUGCAUGCACCGUUCCAAUCUCGCCACCACCGCCGCAGUUCAUCGCUGUUGCCAUCGUCGGUGAGCAUCCCCCUGCCUCCAAAUCUCGUUAGCCGAAGCCCCUCAACCUCGCACACUCCGCUGACAUCUUUUGGGCGCCCGGGAUCCACUGACACCACCACCCCGACAACCACUGAGCCCUCUCCGGGGUUGCAGCUCACCAGAGCACCGCCGUCGAUGCCCCGACUGUUCCCGUCGUCCCCGACCGCAGCAGUCGCCACCAUCGACUCCGCCUCGUCGAGCCGCACCGCCCCAACGUCUUCGCCACCUCCCUCGACCACCGGAGCGACGCCGCCGCCGUCUACUUCUAUAAGCCAGCCCCCCCCCCCUCAUCAGUUAGAUCAACAUCGGAUGUACCAGAUUAGAUCUCGAAUAGUUAGAUUUUACUUUUAUAGAUCGGUUUUAGUUUACGGUUUUUGGUUUUUAUUUCGGUUUAGAUCAAACCGGACGGUUUUCUAUUAUUAAGCGCGCUAGCGUUUUAGUUAUAUUGCGGCUGAGCGUUUGAUAGUUACAAAUCACACCCCCUAGGCCCAAUAGCGCCCAUUUGUUUUCUUUAGUUCUUUUUGUUUCUGUUUUAAAAAGGAAAAAGUUCCAAUCUUGUAAAAUCUAUAUCUCCUAGGAUUUGUAAUAUUUUAAUUUGAUUCCUUUUGCUCUAGAUUGGAAAUUUCUUAAGGUUUCUGUACAUAUCAAUUCUCACAUUGUUUGAAUUUUUUAAUAUGAAUCUAUAUGAUUUUUGUUCAAACCACUAAAUUUGCAAUAUCUUGAGCUAGGAUUAAUAUUUUUUUGUGUUUCUUUUUGCUAGUGAUUUGUUAUGACUUUGCAUAUCAGUAAGUUUAGUUUGGUGAAUUUUAAAAUUAACUAAAACUAGUUUAUCAUGAAAAUAGUACUGUUUUGGUAUUUUUAUACCUUUUGUGUCAUUUCUUUUGUUUUAAAUUGCUUUGAAAUUAUUUUCUUUUUGUUCUUUUGAAAUGUUCAGAUUAGUUUCUGCAGAGUAACAGUAGCAAUUUUUAUAGUUCAAAAUAUAUAUUUUUAGUAGCUUGUUUUCGUUCGUUUUGCUAGGAAAACUGUUUUAGGCAUAUUAGGAGUUUCAUAAAAGGUUUUAAAAUGAUUCUUUUUUGCACAAUGUUUUAAUUAUGUUUUUCUUUCUGUUAUUUAUUAAAAACCUUAUUUUUGUUCUGUUAAAGAAAAUUUCAGUAGUAGAAAACUAUUUUAUAGCUUGUUUUACUUGUAGUAAAAAAUUUACUUUGAGUUUAUUGUUUUCCUUGGUUUUGUUUUCGAUUUUCCUUUGUGUGUUUUGAUGAUUGUGUGAUAAUUAGUUUUACUUGAUGUUAUAUGUUAUUAUAUUUGUAUAAUGGUAUGCUUAUUUGUGACUUGUUUCUUUCGAUAGAGUAUCUGGAGUGUGAGGCUUGUUACUACGAGUCUUUAGUGUUUCAAGAUCGUCACCAAGGCAAGUUCACUUUGGUCAUGUAUUUCCAUUUCCCAUGUUUUAUUGCAUAAGUAGUUUUCUUUCCACCUUGAUAGUAGGAUAUUGAGCUUGAACAUGAGGUGGUAUCAUGAGGUAGGAGAAACCCAACACCCUUUUACCAUUGCCCGGGAAGGGACGCAUUUUCUACGUUCUAGUAGAAGGGUUUUGGUUGUGAGAUUCAGAAGUGUUUUGAGGUUAAGUAAUUCAAGACCUGCAUGACGAUUCAAGACUUCAAGACUUCAAGGACUCAAUAUACCUCUGGGUGGAAUGGAAAGCAUCAGGCAGCCUGAUAUCUAUCAUAGUUAUGCCCGGGAAUCCUGGUAUCUACCUGUGAUCAUCCCGACGGAAUGCCACCCAGGCUCAAACAGAUGGAUGGAUACUUCAAGGCCGGAAAGCUUACGUGUGCAACCGCAAGACAUUAUGGGCUCUGGCUUGGUUGACCUUAGUAGUGAAUCUGGUUGGUCAGAUUGCUAGCAGAUGUAGACGAAUGGUAGGAUUGGAUGGGCACUGACUUUUGGCUGGAGGACCGCUUUGGAAGACCAUGUUUUGAUCGUCCCAUUCUCAAACACUAGGCAGUGCGAGGACAUAACGGGAGGGAUCGAAUCUUGCGGGUAAAGUGUACAAGACUCUUAAGAGUAAGAAUCUAAUCGAUUAGUUGUGUCCCCGGUUACGCACAACAUGAGCACCGGAGAUGAUACUAUCGGCCAAUCUCAACACAAUUAAUUAUAAUGAGUGGGUUUAUUAGUAAUUUUGGGAUAUGAGAAUUGAUUGGCGGAACCAUCUCAUUAACAACAAAUAUUUUGUAGUAAUUUACAAGCAAGUCAUUUUGUUGUAGGGAGAAAUUUGCUUUUCGCAAAAACUUAAACUUAGAGCCCCACAGCCGAAAUUGCAUAUAGUGAUAGCAUUUUAUUAUUGUUUUCUCUCUGUGGCUUGCCGGCAUAUUCCAAAUGCUGACCUAGACGGCUACAACGUCUUGUGUGAAGGAAAUAUGCCCUAGAGGCAAUAAUAAAGUUGUUAUUUAUAUUUCCUUAUAUCAUGAUAAAUGUUUAUUAUUCAUGCUAGAAUUGUAUUAACCGGAAACUUAGUACAUCUGUGAAUACAUAGACAAACAGAGUGUCCCUAGUAUGCCUCCACUUGACUAGCUCGUUAAUCAAAGAUGGUUAAGUUUCCUGACCAUAGACAUGUGUUGUCAUUUGAUCAACGGGAUCACAUCAUUAGAGAAUGAUGUGAUGGACAAGACCCAUCCAUUAGCUUAGCAUAAUGAUCGUUUAGUUUUAUUGCUAUUGCUUUCUUCAUGACUUAUACAUAUUCCUCUGACUAUGAGAUUAUGCAACUCCCGACUACCGAAGGAACACCUUGUCUGCUAUCAAAUGUCACAACGUAACUGGGUGAUUAUAAAGAUCCUCUACAGGUGUCUCCGAAGGUGUUUGUUGGGUUGGCAUAGAAUCAACAUUAGGAUUUGUCACUCCAUGUAUCGGAGAGGUAUCUCUGGGCCCUCUCGGUAAUGCACAUCACUAUAAGCCUUGCAAGCAAUGUGACUAAUGAGUUAGUUAUGGGAUGAUGCAUUACGGAACGAGUAAAGAGACUUGCCAGUAACGAGAUUGAAAUAGGUAUGAUGAUACCGACAAUCGAAUCUCGGGCAAGUAACGUACCGAUGACAAAGGGAAUGACAUAUGUUGUUAUGCGGUUUGACCGAUAAAGAUCUUCGUAGAAUAUGUAGGAGCCAAUAUGAGCAUCCAGGUUCUGCUAUUGGUUAUUGAUCGGAGAUGUGUCUUGGUCAUGUCUACAUAGUUCUCGAACCCGUAGGGUCCGCACGCUUAACGUUCGAUGAUGAUUUGUAUUAUGAGUUAUGUGUUUUUGUGACCGAAGUUUGUUCGUAGUCCCGGAUGAGAUCACGGACAUGACGAGGAGUCUUGAAAUGGUCGAGAGGUAAAGAUUCAUAUAUUGGAAGGUAGUAUUCGUACAUCGGAAUGGUUCCAAGUGAUUCGGGUAUUUGUCCGGAGUACCGAGGGGUUACUGGAACCCCCCAGGGAAGUGUUGGGACAACAUGGGACUAAGGGAAUCGAGUUUGACUACGGCCAGUCCUUAUUGAAGGUCAAAACAGCACACUUGACGAAAAAUCAUUGUGGUUUUGAUGCGUAGGUAAGAACGGUUCUUGCUAGAAGCCCGUAGCAGCCACGUAAAACUUGCAACAACAAAGUAGAGGACGUCUAACUUGUUUUUGCAGGGCAUGUUGUGAUGUGAUAUGGUGAAGACGUGAUGAGAUAAAAAUUGUUGUAUGAGAUGAUCAUGUUUUGUAUAAGUUAUCGGCAACUGGCAGGAGCCUUAUGGUUGUCACUUUAUUGUAUGAAAUGCAAUCGCCAUGUAAUUGCUUUACUUUAUCACUAAGCGGUAGUGAUAGUCAUAGAAGCAAUAGUUGGCGAGAAGAUAAUGAUGCUACGAUGGAGAUCAAGGUGUCAAGCCGUUGACGAUGGAGAUCAUGACGGUGCUUUGGAGAUGGAGAUCAAAAGUACAAGAUGAUGAUGGCCAUAUCAUGUCACAUAUUUUGAUUGCAUGUGAUGUUUAUCCUUUAUGCAUCUUAUUUUGCUUAGUACGGCGGUAGCAUUAUAAGAUGAUCCCUCACUAAAUUUCAAGGUAUAAGUGUUCUCCCUGAGUAUGCACCGUUGCUACAGUUCGUCGUGCCGAGACACCACGUGAUGAUCAGGUGUGAUAAGCUCUAUGUUCACAUACAACGGGUGCAAGCCAGUUUUGCACGUGCAGAAUACUCGGGUUAAACUUGACGAGCCUAGCAUAUACAGAUAUGGCCUCGGAACACUGAGACCGAAAGGUCGAACGUGAAUCAUAUAGUAGAUAUGAUCAACAUAGUGAUGUUCACCAUUGAAAACUACUCCAUCUCACAUGAUGAUCGGACAUGGUUUAGUUGAUAUGAUUCACGUGAUCAUUUAGAUGACUAGAGGGAUGUCUAUCUAAGUGAGAGUUCUUAAGUAAUAUGAUUAAUUGAACUUUAAUUUAUCAUGAACUUAGUACCUGGUAGUUUUUGCAUGUCUAUGUUGUUGUAGAUCAAUGGCCCGUGCUACCGUUCCCUUGAAUUUUAAUGCGUUCCUAGAGAAAGCUAAGUUGAAAGAUGAUGGUAGCAACUACACGGACUGGGUCCAUAACUUGAGGAUUAUCCUCAUUGCUGCACAGAAGAAUUGUGUCCUGGAAGCACCGCUAGGUGCAAGACCCGCUGCAGGAGCAACUCCGGACGUUAUGAACGUCUGGCAGAGCAAAGCUGAUGACUACUCGAUAGUUCAGUGUGCCAUGCUUUACGUCUUAGAAUCGGGACUUCAAAGACGUUUUGAACGUCAUGGAGCAUAUGGGAUGUUCCAGGAGUUGAAGUUAAUAUUUCAAGCAAAUGCCCGAAUUGAGAGAUAUGAAGUCUCCAAUAAGUUCUAUAGCUGCAAAAUGGAGGAGAAUAGUUCUGUCAGUGAACAUAUACUCAGAAUGUCUGGGUACCACAACCACUUGACUCAACUGGGAGUUAAUCUUCCUGAUGAUAGUGUCAUUGACAGAGUUCUUCAAUCACUGCCACCAAGCUAUAAAAGCUUCGUGAUGAACUAUAAUAUGCAAGGAAUGGAUAAGACAAUUCCUGAGCUCUUCGCGAUGCUAAAGGCUGCGGAGGUAGAAAUCAAGAAGGAGCAUCAAGUGUUUAUGGUUAACAAGACCACUAGUUUCAAGAAAAAGGGCAAAGGGAAGAAGGGGAACUUCAAGAAGAACGGCAAGAAAGUUGCUGCUCAAGUGAAGAAACCCAAGUCUGGACCUAAGCCUGAAACUGAGUGCUUCUACUGCAAGGGGACUGGUCACUAGAAGCAGAACUGCCCCAAGUAUUUGGCGGAUAAGGAGGAUGGCAAAGUGAAAUGUAUAUUUGAUAUACAUGUUAUUGAUGUGUACCUUACUAAUGCUCGUAGUAGUGCCUGGGUAUUUGAUACUGGUUCUGUUGCUCUUAUUUGCAACUCGAGACAGGGGCUACGGAUUAAACGAAGAUUGGCUAAGGACGAGGUGACGAUGCGCGUGGGAAAUGGUUCCAUAGUCAAUGUGAUCGCCGUCGGCACGCUACCUCUACAUCUACUGUCGGGAUUAGUUUUAGACCUGAAUAAUUGUUAUUUGGUGCCAGCGUUGAGCAUGAACAUUAUAUCUGGAUCUUAUUUGAUGCGAUACGGUUAUUCAUUUAAAUCGGUGAAUAAUGGUUGUUCUAUUUAUAUGAGUAAUAUCUUUUAUGGUCAUGCACCCUUGAUGAGUGGCCUAUUUUUGUUGAAUCUUGAUUGUAGUAAUACACAUAUUCAUAAUAUUGAAGCCAAAAGAUGCAAGGUUAAUAAUGAUAGUGCAACUUAUUUAUGGCACUGCCGUUUAGGUCAUAUUGGUGUAAAGCGCAUGAAGAAAAUCCAUGCUGAUGGGCUUUUGGAAUCACUUGAUUAUGAAUCACUUGAUGCUUGCGAACCAUGCCUCAUGGGCAAGAUCACUAAGACUCCGUUCUCCAGAACAAUGGAGCGAGCAACUGACUUGUUGGAAAUAAUACAUACUGAUGUAUGCGGUCCGAUGAGUGUUGAGGCUCGCGGCCGGUAUCGUUAUUUUCUGACCUUCAUAGAUGAUUUGAGCAGAUAUAGGUAUAUCUACUUAAUGAAACAUAAGUCUGGAACAUUUGAAAAGUUCAAAGAAUUUCAUAGUGAAGUGGAAAAUCAUCGUAACAAGAAAAUAAAAUUUCUACGAUCUAAUCGUGGAGGUGAAUAUUUGAGUUAUGAGUUUGGUCUUCAUUUGAAACAAGGCGGAAUAGUUUCGCAAUUCAUGCCACCUGGAACACCACAGCGUAAUGGUGUGUCCGAACAUCGUAACCGUACUUUAUUAGAUAUGGUGCAAUCUAUGAUAUCUCUUACCGAGUUACCACUAUCGUUUUGGGGUUAUGCUUUAGAGACGGCUGCAUUCACGUUAAAUAGGGCACCAUCUAAAUCCGUUGAGACGACACCAUAUGAAUUGUGGUUUGGCAAGAAACCUAAGCUGUCGUUUAUUAAAGUUUGGGGCUGCGAUGCUUAUGUGAAAAAGCUUCAACCUGAUAAGCUCGAACCCGAAUCGGAGAAAUGUGUCUUCAUAGGAUACCCAAAGGAGACUAUUGGGUACACCUUCUAUCAUAGAUCCGAAGGCAAGAUAUUCGUUGCUAAGAAUGGAUCCUUUCUAGAGAAGGAGUUUCUCUCGAAAGAAGUGAGUGGGAGGAAAGUAGAACUUGAUGAGGUAAUUGUACCUUCUCCCGAAUUGGAAAGUAGUUCAUCACAGAAAUCAGUUCCAGUAAUUCCUACACCAAUCAGUGAGGAAGCUAAUGAUAAUGAUCAUGAAACUUCAGAUCAAGUUACUAACAAACCUCGUAGGUCAACCAGAGUAUGAUCCGCACCAGAGUGGUACGAUAAUGUUGUUCUGGAGAUCAUGUUACUUGACCAUGAUGAACAUACAAACUAUGAGGAAGCGAUGAUGAGCCAAAUUCCGCAAAAUGGCUUGAGGCCAUGAAAUCUGAGAUGGAAUCCAUGUAUGAGAACAAAGUGGACUUUGGUUGACUUGCCCGACGAUCGGCAAGCCAUAGAGAAUAAAUGGAUCUUCAAGAAGAAGACUGACGUUGACGCUAAUGUUACUGUCUACAAAGCUCGACUUGUUGUGAAAGGUUUUCGACAAGUUCAAGGAGUUGACUACGAUGAGACCUUCUCACCCAUAGCGAUACUUAAGUCUGUCCGAAUCAUGUUAGUAAUUGCCGCAUUUUAUGAUUAUGAAAUUUGGCAAAUGGAUGUCAAAACUGCAUUCCUUAAUGGAUAUCUUAAAGAAGAGUUGUAUAUGAUGCAACCAGAAGGUUUUGUCGAUCCUAAAGGUGCUAACAAAGUGUGCAUGCUCCAGCGAUCCAUUUAUGGACUGGUGCAAGCCUCUCGGAGUUGGAAUAUACGCUUUGAUAGUGUGAUCAAAGCAUACGGUUUUAUACAUACUUUUGGAGAAGCCUGUAUUUACAAGAAAGUGAGUGGGAGCUCUGUAGCAUUUCUAAUAUUAUAUGUGGAUGACAUACUGUUGAUUGGAAAUAAUACAAAAAAUUUAGAUAUCAUAAAAGGAUACUUGAAUAAGAAUUUUUCAAUGAAAGACCUCGGUGAAGCUGCUUAUAUAUUGGGCAUCAAGAUCUAUGGAGAUAGAACAAGACGCUUAAUUGGAAUUUCACAAAGCACAUACCUUGAUAAAGUUUUGAAGAAGUUCAAAAUGGAUCAGUCAAAGAAAGGGUUCUUUCAUGUGUUACAAGGUGUGAAGUUGAGUUAGACUCAAUGGCCGACCACUCAGAAGAUAGAGAGAAAAUGAAAGUCAUUCCAUAUGCCUCAGCCAUAGGUUCUAUCAUGUAUGCAAUGCUGUGUACCAGUCCUGAUGUGUGCCUUGCUAUAAGUUUAGCAGGGAGGUACCAAAGUAAUCCAGGAGUGGAUCACUGGACAGCGGUAAAGAACAUCCUGAGAUACCUGAAAAGGACUAAGGAUAUGUUUCUCGUUUAUGGAGGUGACAAAGAGCUUGUCGUAAAUGGUUACGUCGAUGCAAGCUUUGACACUGAUCCAGAUGACUCUAAGUCACAAACCGGAUACGUAUUUAUAUUGAAUGGUGGAGCUGUCAGUUGGUGCAGUUCCAAGCAGAGCGUCGUGGCGGGAUCUACGUGUGAAGCGGAGUACAUAGCUGCUUCGGAAGCAGCAAAUGAAGGAGUUUGGAUGAAGGAGUUCAUAUCCGAUCUAGGUGUAAUACCUAGUGCAUUGGGUUCAAUGAAAAUCUUUUGUGGCAAUACUGGAGCAAUUGCCUUGGCGAAGGAAUCCAGAUUUCACAAGAGAACCAAACACAUCAAAAGACGCUUCAAUUCCAUCCGCGAUCAAGUCAAGGAGGGAGACAUAGAGAUUUACAAAAUACAUACGGAUCUAAAUGUUGCAGACCCGUUGACUAAGCCUCUUCCACGAGCAAAACAUGAUCAGCACCAAGACUCCGUGGGUGUUAGAAACAUUACUAUGUAAUCUAGAUUAUUGACUCUAGUGCAAGUGGGAGACUGGAGGAAAUAUGCCCUAGAGGCAAUAAUAAAGUUGUUAUUUAUAUUCCCUUAUACCAUGAUAAAUGUUUAUUAUUCAUGCUAGAAUUGUAUUAACCGGAAACUUAGUACAUGUGUGAAUACAUAGACAAACUGAGUGUCCCUAGUAUGCCUCUACUUGACUAGAUCGUUAAUCAAAGAUGGUUAAGUUUCCUGACCAUAGACAUGUGUUGUCAUUUGAUCAAUGGGAUCACAUCAUUAGAGAAUGAUGUGAUGGACAAGACCCAUCCGUUAGCUUAGCAUAAUGAUCGUUUAGUUUUAUUCCUAUUGCUUUCUUCAUGACUUAUACAUAUUCCUCUGACUAUGAGAUUAUGCAACUCCCGGAUACCGGAGGAACACCUUGUGUGCUAUCAAACGUCACAACGUAACUGGGUGAUUAUAAAGAUGCUCUACAGGUGUCUCCGAAGGUGUUUGUUGGGUUGGCAUAGAAUCGAGAUUAGGAUUUGUCACUUCGUGUAUCGAAGAGGUAUCUCUGGGCCCUCUCGGUAAUGCACAUCACUAUAAGCCUUGCAAGCAAUGUGACUAAUGAGUUAGUUAUGGGAUGAUGCAUUACGGAAUGAGUAAAGAGACUUGCCGGUAACGAGAUUGAACUAGGUAUGAUGAUACCGACGAUCGAAUCUCAGGCAAGUAACGUACCGAUGACAAAGGGAAUGACGUAUGUUGUUAUGCAGUUUGACCGAUAAAGAUCUUCGUAGAAUAUGUAGGAGCCAAUAUGAGCAUCCAGGUUCCGCUAUUGGUUAUUAACCAUAGAUGUGUCUCGGUCAUGUCUACAUAGUUCUUGAACCCGUAGGGUCCGCAGGCUUAACGUUCGAUGACGACUUGUAUUAUGAGUUACGUGUUUUGGUGACCGAAGUUUGUUCGGAGUCCCGGAUGAGAUCACGGACAUGACGAGGAGUCUCGAAAUGGUCGAGAGGUAAAGAUUCAUAUAUUGGAAGGUAGUAUUCGGACAUCGGAAUGGUUCCGAGUGAUUCGGGUAUUUUUCCAGAGUACCGAGGGGUUACCGGAACCCCCCGAGGAAGUGUUGGGCCAACAUGGGCCUAAGGGAGAGAGAGGGAAGCCCGCGGGGGUGGCCGCGCGUCCCCCUCCUUGGGAGUCCGAAUAGGACAAGGAGGAGGGGGCGGCGCCCCCUUUCCCUCUCACUCUCCUUCCUAUUCCCUCCGGUGGAAGAAAGGAAAAGGGGGGGCGAAUCCUACUUGGACUAGGAGUCCAAGUAGGACUCCCCCCAUGGUGCGCCCCUCCUGGCCGCCGGCCUCUCUCCCCCCUCCUUUUUAUACGUGGCCAGGGGGCACCCCAAAGGCACAAUAGUUGUUUCUUAGCCGUGUGUGGUGCCCCCCUCCACAGUUUACCACCUCGAUCGUAUUGUCGUAGUGCUUAGGCGAAGCCCUGCGUGGAUCACAUCACCGACACCGUCGCCACGCCGUCGUGCUGACGGAACUCUCUCUCGACCCUCUACUGGAUCAAGAGCUCGAGGGACGUCAUCGAGCUGAACGUGUGCUGAACAUGGAGGUGUCGUACGUUCGGUACUUGGAUCGGUUGGAUCGUGAAGACGUUCGACUACAUCAACCGCGUUAACUAAACGCUUCCGCUUUCGGUCUACGAGGGUAAGUGGACACACUCUCCCGUCUCGUUGCUAUGCAUCUCCUAGAUAGAUAUUGCGUGAUCGUAGGAAAAAAUUUGAAUUACCGCGUUCCCCGACAUUAUGUUGCAGAGGUUUAUUCCGACCAGGAGUGAGGCUACGCUCUAUGCUCGGUGAUUGCCCUAUGGAAUCGGAUGGACUCGCUAUCGUCUACGUUUUCUACAGUAGUUUAUCUCAUGAGUUGGCCUUCGGCCAAAUAUAUUCUAUUGUAAUAAAGACUCUAUAUGAGAUUCGAUGUAAUAAAGCAUGUGUGAUUGCACUUUGAUAUAUACAUUUAUGUACUGUGUGUACCAGCAUGAUCUUGGGAUGGUACAGAUACACAGAGACUUAACCGUUUUCUGGUCGGGUUGCUACAUCCAUGCGCCGGCCUCCGCUUCUAGCUCCCCGAUGACCCCUCUCGUCCAGUGAUGGACCUCGGACGGCGGACGGUGGAGCUACUACCAGCUACACCAGGAGCUGCAAACAGCGAACAGAGGAGCUACAACCGGCCAGCCAGGAGGUACAACCAGAGGAUGGAGGAGCUAUGACCGACCAUGUUGGGAGCUGCAACCGGCGGACGGAGGAGCUACAAGCUGGGAACUACGAUCGAUGAACACACGUGCUAGAACCAACACAUAGGGGUGUUGCCACCGAUGCACGACUAUGUUGUAGCCAGGCAUCCCCGGUGCUGGAACCAGCGCGCCCCGUGCUGGAACCAGCGCGCCCCGUGCUGGAAUCGGUGCGUGGCCCCGUGCUGGAACCAUGACAUGGGAAUGCUGGAUCUAGCCAUCUCUGAUGCUGGAACAAACCAUCCCGGUACUAGAACCAGCGCGCCCCGUGCUGGAAUCGGUGUGCGACCCCGUGCUGGAACCAUGCUAUGGGAAUGCUGAAUCCAGCCAUCUCCGAUGGAACCAACCAUCAUCGGUGCUGGAACCAGUCGAUGACCGGAUGGUGCUACCACGACGACAUGCUACAUCGGCGGCUUACUGCGAAAGCUUAAAUCAGCGGCCCGUUUUGCUGGGACCGGCACCCCAAUUUGCUACGUGGGGCAGAGCAAUGGCUGGCGACGACGACGCUACCAUGCCUGAACGACGUUGCUGAAAAUGUUUCUACCGUGACCUGUUUUUGUUGUAAUUGACGCGGAAUUUGUUACCCGCGGCGUCGGCGAGCAUCGACAGCAAGGCAUCGACCGUCAACGACAAGGCAAGCCAGGGUAGGGCAAUUAGGCGAGCUGUUGGCCGGCGUCUGCAUGUGGCAGGGCAUCCGUCAUGGAUUUUUUUUUGGAGAACGGAGUGAAAGUGGUGUGAAGGUGGGAAAGGAUAAGUGGGGAGAAGCGGCUAGUAUUUCACAAAUCGAACGCUUGGUCCGACCGGCUAAAAAUUCAGCCGGUCGACCGAUGCCUAUCACUCACCUAGAGAGAUCCGACUCAGAAAAAAAUCCGACUCGGAAAAAAGAGAUAAGAGAGGUGUAGUAGUGGUUACCUUUUCCGGAAAAUGCUCCGACACAUACAUUCUCAAGAUCACUGCGUGCUUGUCGAAAGGUAACUUUCCAGACACACAAACCCAACGUCCCUUGAAAAAGACCAAACAUCCACUGAUAUCAGCUUGACGCACGCAAAUCUGCCCAUUUAAAGACAGUCAAGUCAAAAUCACUAAACCUAUUCAUGUUUUUGCCUAACUAAGCAAUGCCCAAAAACUAAAGACCCCUGAACCUGUUCAUGCUUUUGCCUAACUAAGCAAUUCCCACACCUCGUCACAUGCAGUACUGUCAAACCUAUUUAUUGCCACCCAUAUCCAUUUCUCACCUCCCACACCUUGCAGCAUUCACUCACUCACUCAACUCUCCCUCUCUCUCUCUCUCUCAAGAGCACAGGCAACAACAUGCACCCGGGCACCUCCGUAGCUGCGGUGGUCUGUGCGGCUUCUGUGCUGCUCAUCAGCAAUGGCUGCCUCUCCAUGGCCAUGGUGGAGGACAAGAUCACGGCGCUGCCGGGGCAGCCACCGGUGAGCUUCGCGCAGUACUCCGGAUACGUGGAGGUGGACGCCGUGAGGAAGAGGUCGCUCUUCUACUACUUCGCCGAGGCAGAGCUAGAUCCGGCCACCAAGCCCCUCGUCCUCUGGCUAAACGGAGGUAAAUUUAGUGGCUGCCACAAGCUUCCCACUGUUUCAUCUUAUUGCAUUAUUGGUAUUGGGGAGAUCGCAGGAGAAGGAACAGUGUGAAAAGGCCAGAGCCAGAGGGGAAAGGAAAUUAACAAAUGUUGAGAGAGAGAGAGAGAGAGAGAGAGAGAGUAGAUUUUCUGUGCAAAUGCGCCUACAGCAGACUUUUACUUGGAUCAUACAUUAAAAAGAUACUUUUCCUAAUUGGAUUCUUGAUAGAAGAUAUACGAAGUGUCCCAACUGUUGAUGGAACGGGACUUUUUACCUUUAAAUUUUGAUGUCCUUGCAGUAGAAUGUGUUUUUGUUUUGUUAGAACUGACUGCAUAACCUCGUGAAAUGGUAUUAAUGUUGGGGGCGGUGGAUCUCACCUGAUUUAUCACUACCAAGAUUCCUUUGUCUCUCUAUGAUAGGAUAGGAGUUCUGAUGAUGUUUAUGCAUGUGUGCUUGUGUAGGACCCGGAUGUUCAUCUGUGGGGGUGGGAGCAUUCUCAGAGAAUGGGCCAUUCAGGCCCAGUGGCAAUGCCCUUAUGAGCAAUGAGUAUAGCUGGAACAAAGGUGGACAUUUUGUCUCUUGUAAAAGUUGCAUCCACAAAAGCAACCUCUGGGUGCCUUUGAUUGGUCCUCUUUUUGUUGGUCCUCUUUUCCUUGGUGCAAGAAAAAAGAAAGCUCACAGGAAUUUUUACCACAACUGAAUUUCUCUUGGUAUCUGUUGGCUUGUUUCAGAGGCCAACAUGCUCUAUCUGGAGAGCCCUGCAGGGGUGGGCUUCUCCUACUCCACUGAUCCUUCCUUCUAUGGGGGUGUUGGUGACAGCAUGACAGGUGUGAUCUCCAUGCUUGAAAAGUUUUGUAAUCCGUAUCAGUAUUAUUUUCUGUGUAGAUUAAUCUGCAAGAUUAUUCUUUUUUGAGGGGUUUAAAAUGUUUCCCCUAAAAUUUUGAAGCCAGGGAUAAUUUAAGGUUCUUGGAAGGCUGGUUUGCCAAGUUCCCACAGUACAAGGGCAGGGACUUGUACAUCGCAGGAGAGAGUUAUGCUGGUAAAGCCAUUCUGCUUGUUCACGUCCUUGUUCAAUUUUGAAUUCAUCCCUUGGUGUUCUAACUACAAUGAUGAUCACUUUUAAGGUCACUAUGUUCCGCAACUAGCGCAGCGCAUGGUUGAAUUUGACGACAAGGAGAAGCUGUUCAAUCUGAAAGGCAUUGCUGUAAGUAUCCCAUUUACAAAGCUUACCAAAAAUAUGAAUUUGCAGAGCGUGUAUGUUUACAGAAGCCUCGUCAAUUUAUAGUGUGCCUGCUCUCUUUUUCCCUCGUUGAUCCAAUAGUUGGGCAAUCCUGUUCUCGAAUUCUCAACUGACUUCAACUCAAGAGCCGAGUUCUUCUGGUCACACGGGCUGAUAUCGGACUCAACCUACAACAUCUUCACGACGGUUUGCAACUACUCACGGUAUGUGAGCGAGUAUUACCACGGCUCCAUCAGCUCGGUUUGCGACAGGGUGAUGAGCCAAGUGACCAAAGAGACGAGCAGAUUCGUGGACAAGUACGAUGUCACCCUGGACGUCUGCAUUUCUUCGGUGUUGAUGCAGUCCCAAGUGCUCACCCCAAGCCCAAAUGUAUCGUUCUUCAGCAUUACCUCUGCUAAGGAGAUGUAUGUAACCUUGUCACUGACGGACAACUUUUUGCAGUCUACCGAGCAAUUGAACAGGGCGCUCGACGUGUGCGUCGAGGACGAGACGAUGAACUACCUCAACCGAAAAGAUGUGCAAAAGGCAAUGCACGCUCAGCUCAACGGCGUGCCCAAGUGGACGGUCUGCAGCAGGUAUGGAUUUGCCUAUCUGUUAGAGUGUCUAUCUGUAUCCGCUAGGGGUAUUACAGCUGCAUUUCCUUCAGAAAGGUUGCGAUUUCACCGAGUGUUUUGCCCAAUCCAGUGUUCUUGAGUACAAACAGCUGGACCUGCAGAUCCCGACCAUCAACAUCGUCGGCGCGCUCGUCAAGUCCGGCAUCCCGGUGCUAGUUUACAGGUAAAGAACCGCAUACAGUUGUACUGUACGUAUCAAUGAAAAACUCGCCACAGCAAGGGUGUCAGUUUAGAACGUGGCCUGAUGGCUGUGCUCGUGGGUGUUUCUCCGCACCGCAGCGGUGAUCAGGACUCGGUGAUCCCCCUGACGGGCAGCAGGACGCUGGUGCACCGCCUGGCCAAGAGGCUCCGGCUGAACGCAACGGUGCCGUACCGGGUCUGGUUCCAAGGGAAGCAGGUGAGCUCCGGUCCAUCUCCAUCCUACAAUAUUGGCCAUCGUUAUCGUCGCUCACUCCACUCCUGUCAAGCUCAAGCCAUGGUGGGUGGUGAAGCUGAAACUGAAGCGUUCUUCUCGUCUCAUCUUCUCCCGGACGUGCAGGUUGGUGGAUGGACGCAGGUGUUCGGCGACGCGCUGUCCUUCGCGACCAUCCGGGGCGCGUCGCACGAGGCGCCCUUCUCGCAGCCGGAGAGGUCCCUCGUGCUCUUCAGGGCGUUCCUCGCCAGCCGGCCGCUGCCGGAAUCGUUCGAGUGACCUCAACUCAAGAGACAGCUCGUGUUCUUGUACUACUAUCUACUCCCUCCGUUCCUAAAUAUAUCUCUUUGUAGAGAUUCCACUAAAUGGACUACAUACGGAGCAAAAUGAAUGAAUCUACACUUAAAAUGCAUCUAUAUACAUCCGUACGUGGUUUAUAGUGGAAUCUCUAUAAAGACUUAUAUUUAGGAACGGAGGGAGUAGUAUAGUAGCUAGAGUGCAUUGCGUCAAUCACCUUUCAAGGUUGGAAAUCCAAUCAAAAAGGUCUUCACAAGUGUAAUCAGUUACUCCCUUGUUUCACUAUUAUAAGAUGUUUUGAAUAUUUUAAUAUACACUGAAUACAGACUGAAAUGAGUGAACGAACACACUAAAACACGUCAACAUACAUUUGAUUUAGAAAAUAAUAAUUAAUCAUACAUCUCAUAAUAGUGAAUGGAGAGAAUAUAUCGCAAGGCGUGGAGGUGCACUGGAAAUGUAUGGGAAUUUCGAAAAUUUACUGAGCUGUUACCUUUGGUCUGUCAUACUGGGAAAAAGGUACUCCCGCUGUCCAGAAUUAAUACAUCCGUAUCUAGGCAAAUCUAAGUCAAGUAAUUUAGGAUAAAAGUAAUAUAUGAUAAUGAAAUUGUACCAUGCAACUAAAAUUUACUAGGAGCUGUGUACAAUCAAAUGCGUACUUGUAGAUUCACGUUGCCACAAAACAUAUGCAGGGCGUGACUGUCACUAAGAUUAUCUGUGUUUUGUUUGGCAAACUAAGAUUAUCUGCAUGGCACUCUUUUAUCCAAAACAUGUUAUGUCAUUCACAUUUGGACUAGAAAAUUUAUAGUAAUUCUUGCUUAAUAUAAAACCUCCUCUAGAUCAGAUGACAUAUACGGACUACGAUGCCCCGACGUGCUGCUCUGCUCCACCAUCUCCCCCACCGCCUGCACCCGACGAUGAUGUAACCCCGUUUGACGUGCCUUUGCAGCCCGUCCACAUGGAGCAGGCCUAGCUGCUAUGCUCUUCUGCGUGUGUUGGGUCUCUUUGGUGAGAGCGGAGGUCGUUUUUGGCAAACUUCCGGUUCCACCUAUUGUGUCUCCGCUGCCUGAGGUCCAAGUUGAUUCCACGGAUGGGGGAAAGCAGGCCUCUAUGGAUGCUUCUUCCCUCGUGCUAGACCUUGAUCGGCACCAUAGCUCAUUGUGUCGCAUGCCUUUCGGAGAGAGGGCAUCGUCGAAAUCAUGGCUCGUGUGUUGCAGAUCAUGUCCGAGUUGCAUGGGAUAUGUGGGGGAGCCCACUUUGUAUCCGGUGCUUCCGGAGGUGGGCUCACUUGUGGCCUUGGUGGUGGCCACGACACCCUCUCGACCACCGUCAGACCUUAGAUCCAGCUAGCCAGCUUGCCUUCAUGGAUUAUGGAGGUUUGGAUGCUACUGCCUUUCACUCUCCCGUGAACGUCGGGCAAGUGGUGCAUGCGAGUGAUGAGAUUAUCGUGUGCGUUGGCACCUAAUUUUGAGGUUCCAGUUCGUGGACAUGGCAGGACAUGUCUGUGGACCUUUUCAAUAGUAGUUUAUUCCAUUUGGUGAUUAGCGUUCAAGAUGCCCUCAAAUAUCGACAUGCUAAGAGAUGCGCUACAGUACUAGUAAUGAGCUCAUGUAGUCAUAUUACUUCAUUCGAAAAAUAAAAGUACUCAUAGUAAUAUUUAUUUUACCCUUUACCAUGAAAUUGGCAACGAGUUCAUAUUACUUCAUUCUCAAAAGAAGCGUGCUGCAUGUACCAUCAAGCUCUCAGUUUGCUGAUCUCUUCACUAAAGGGCUGCCAUCACAGGUGUACCAUGAGUUCCGAUCCAGGGGGUUAGACAGUUUUUCUAUAUAGUCAUGUACACAUGUGUAUAGCCUACAAUGUAGGAUUCGUAACCGCACGCCCUGGCCUGCGUGCCGACUCUCAAGGGCUCUCUCCUGUAUAUGUUAUAACCUUGUAACCGACCCAAGGCAUUCAAUCAAGAGUUAAUCUCUCCAACUUUAGCAACGAGCACAUAUUACUUCAUUCGCAAAAAAAAAUCAUAGUAAUAUUUUACCCUUUGCCAUGAAAUUGGCAACGAGUUCAUAUUACUUCAUUCUCAAAAGAAGAAGAAAAACUCGUGAUAUUACUUUACCCUUUACCAUGAAAUUAUAAUUACAUCUGACAUGAACAAGCGACACAAAAUCGUACACUCGUAGAUUUACUAUUACGUGGCUGGAUGUAGAAUCAAUCCUUGGAGAGCCUAUUCUGCGACUGCGAUGGUAUCUUAUAGGCCGCGUAGUGUCUGGGUGGCUGGCCGGCUGGCUAGGGUGGAGAUCGUCAAGAUGGGUCGGCAUCAUCACAUGAUGGCGCAGGAGUUGACGUCCUCGUCGUUGAACAUGUUCAUGUACCGGACCUCCGGCGCCCCGGGGUCGGCCAUGGCCUGCGGCGCGCCGCGGACGAAGCCCGCCGGCGCCUUCUUGUCGUAGGCGCCGCCGACAUAGGGGUAGGUGGUGAGCGAGUACGGCACGUAGGGCCACAUCUCGGCCACCUUCCCGGUGCUCUUCACCCGCGCCAGCACCUUGCUCGGCUCAACGAACCCCGUCACCGUCACCUUGCUCAUCUUGGGGUUCACUGACACGGCCGUCACACCUUUGCCAUCAACAUAUACAGGAGAUGAGACGUUCAGCAGCAGAGUUUAACUUCACAAAACUAUUCCCAACGAAAACUUUAGAUUGCUUGAUUUUAUUUCAUUUCUGGAUAUCGCUACGUAUGUAGGAGUAUGUAUGUGUGUACCCCGAAUCGACUUGACGGCGUUCUUGACCCUCCUCUCGCAGCCCUCGCAGUCCAUCUUCACCUUGAUGUUUACCGUCUGCGGAUCACAAACUACUCGAGUUAAUCACGUGUUUAUAUAUAACUUAAACGAAAUGGCAAACAAAAAAUUAUAUCGGUCAUCUCAUGAGAUGAGAAGUUGAAACUGUUUCCAAGCAAAACAAGAGAGCACAGGCGUACUAAAAAAAAGAAUUCCACAAGCCUCACCUGCAUCGGCCGCCUCUUCCUGAGCUUGAGGGCUGCCUUUGUGUCUGUCAUGCUGCACAAAUCGGAGAGGUGAUCCAAGACGCCCAUGAUCUUAUUGAUCUGACACGACUGAAGCAGUAGUGUUCUCGGGUACAGAACCGUGAAGGGUCGUAUAUGUAGAGAGGAAAGAGGAACGAAGAGAAAAUAUCAGAGGAUAAAUUUCGCUUGCUGGCUAAAUUUGUAUGGUUAGGGUGGACGUGCAAGUCCAUACUGAUGCUUCUAGGCGACAGAGAGCGAGCGAUUAAACCACGGCGCUUUCGGAUUGAUGAGCAAACACCCCUGCUUCCAGGAUGACCAUUCCCUGCUUCACAGGCCAGCUGUUUUGACAGGAAGCUGCUUCAUAAUUAUCUCUUGCUUUUCGUUUCACGGAGAUGAUUUAUUUUGGUAGACUGGGAAAUGCACGGCCUCAAUUAGCUCUCUAGUCGCUACCUAAAAUACAGUACGUACAAAGCAAGUAACUGCAGGUAGAUGAAUCCUUCAACUGUUCUUCAGAAACAGAGCAACUACUCUCUCAAAAAGAAAAAAGAAAACUCAAAAGAUAUACUGGCAUACAGCUUGCUCGUACAUGCAUCUAUGUUUGUUUCGUUUACAAUAACAAUUUCUAGUGCCUCACUUCAAACUUCGAACUUCAAGAGAGUGAAAGAAGAGAGACAAAAAAGGAAGAGGAGAACACAUAACUGAAAGGGCAGUGAUAUUAAUCUAGGUACCAUCACCAGGACCCCAAGCUGAGAUAACGAAAUAAAAAGAUGGUAUACCCAACUAGGCACUCAGAGCAGGCUCCAGCGGCUCUGCAAUACCACCCCCGCUGUUGAGAACUACCACCUUACCAUCCGAAUCCACAUCAACAAUAGCAGAAUCACCUUCCUUGACCUCGCCAGCCAGCAUCUUUUCCGCCAGACUGUCUUCCAAAAGCCUCAUAAUGGCGCGUCGCAGAGGCCUGGCACCGUAGCUCGGGUUGUAACCUUCAUCCACAACCCUAUCCCGGAACUUCUCCGUUACCUGGAGGUCGAUUUCCUUUGCCUUGAGCCUGUCAAACACCUCCUUGAGCAUAAUAUCAGCAAUCUCUUUCACCUCCAGUUUUGUCAGCUGCCGGAACACAAUCAUCUCAUCCAAUCUGUUCAAGAACUCAGGCCGGAAAUACUGCUUCAACUCCUCGGUCACCAAGCUCUUGAUCCUGUUAUAACUGGUAUCUUUCUCAUCAGAGUCAAGGUCAAACCCAAUCUUCCGGCCUCCCUUCUCGAUGACACUGCUUCCGACAUUCGAUGUCAUGAUCAACAGUGUGUUCUUGAAAUCAACUGUCCGUCCCUUGCUAUCUGUCAGCCUCCCAUCUUCUAAGAUCUGAAGCAUCAUGUUGAAGACAUCUGGAUGUGCCUUUUCAAUCUCAUCAAAGAGAACAACUGUGUAUGGACGGCGGCGGACUGCUUCUGUUAGUUGACCUCCUUCAGUGUAGCCAACAUAACCUGGAGGUGAUCCGAUGAGUUUGGACACUGUAUGUCUCUCCAUGAACUCACUCAUAUCUAAUCUGAUCAUGGCUUCCUCUGAGCCAAAGUAGUAGGAUGCCAGAGCCUUUGCUAAUUCUGAUUUACCAACACCAGUUGGUCCAGAGAAUAUGAAGCUAGCAAUGGGUCGAUUUGGAUUCUUGAGGCCAACACGAGCACGGCGGAUAGCACGGCUAAUAGCUUUGACAGCUUCAUCCUGCCCAAUGAUGCGCGUAUGGAGUGUCUCUUCCAUCUUAAGGAGGCGGUCAGACUCAUCAGAUGAGACUUUCUCCACAGGUAUACCAGUCCAUGAUGAGACGAUGUGCUGAAUAUCUGCCUCGGUGACAAGAGGACCAACUUCGCCGGAUUCAGUCUCUGCUUUAACCAUUUCCUUGCUCUUGUCAAUAAUGGCUGUAAUUUGGGCCUUCAGCUCCAUUUCCUCGUCUCUUAAUUCCCCAGCCUGACAAUAAACAACAACAGUAAGAUAACAUGGAAGAAACAACAAUGGUUAAUUUAAGUUGCAUAAACAGAACAAGGAAGAAAAGGCUGGCUUCUAGGCUAUGAUUAGAGGCACCUUACAAGUAAAACAACAAUGUAAAUAUAGCCAAAUGAACCAAUAAACUUGCAAGUAAAACAACAUUAGCAUCCUACUAAAGCAAACCAUUUAGGAACCUUCACACAAAACUCAAGAGCGCUUAUCCAGAAUCUAUGUAUACCUUCUCAAAAUCUUGGCCACGCACAGCCUCAUUCUUGUCCUUUGUUAUUUGGCGAAGUUUUUUGUCCAGCUCCUUGGCCUCAUCAGGUAGCUGCAGUGUAAGGGAUCAUGGUUAAACAAAAACAAGGCGGUGAAGCAGGCUCUCUGGGAUCACAAUUAUUCAGGGUCAAUACCUGUGCAUGCCUGAGCCUAACACGGGACCCCGCUUCAUCAAUCAAGUCAAUAGCCUUGUCAGGCAGGAAGCGGUCACUACAGAAACAGCAAAGAUAACACAUGUUCAUUACAGUGCAAAUCAGAUUAUUGGCUCCACUGCCAAAAUAUAAAGUGGAAAAUAUACACUGUCCAUAUAAUCUAAAUAUAUAACUGGAACUAAGAUUUUCAUUCUAGGAGGGCUAAUAAUAGUCGUGCAUGUGUAGAGUCAACUGUUGUCAAGGAUAACAAAAAAUUACAGUCAAGACUUCUUGCAAUUUAAUUAUUGUUGUGCAGACAAUGACACCUUAGCAGAUUAAGGGUGAAACGGCAAUAUUAUACAGUUUAUAUCAUUUCAUUUAUUAUACUCCCUCCGAUCCAUAUUAAUUGACGCUGCUCUAGUAUAAUUUGUACUGAAAUUAUACUAGAGCAGCGUCAAUUAAUAUGGAUCGGAGGGAGUAACACUCUUAGCGAAAGUCUAGAGCAAUGGGAACAUGAAGCAUAUUGGGAACUUCAGAAAAAGCCAGGAUAAUUAACCCUUUCAUGAUGGAUAAUCAAAUCAUGAGAUACACCAAUGCAAGCCCCUCGCCUACCCAACUUAUCCAAUAAAAAGGUAAUAAAGCUGAUGCUACACAUUAGUGAACAAUUCAGAUAACAAAACCACAAGAGAUGUCAAAAUCAUACACAUUCACAACAUUAUACAUAUACAGCUAAUACCUAAGAAAUAAUUGCAGCACCAGAAUUGCUAUACCAAAAAAAUUAAACAUCAACCAAAUUAAUUAAAGUAUGAUGCAAUGCAAACCUGAUAUACUGAUAUGAUAACUGCGCCGCGGCAACUAAAGCAUCAUCUGUGUAUCGCAGCUUAUGAUGAAGUUCAUAUCUCUCACGAAGUCCUCUUAAGAUUUGUAUUGAUUCUUCAACAGUGGGCUCUGGUACCUUGACUGGUUGAAACCUUCGCUCCAAAGCAGGAUCUUUCUCGAUAUGUUUCCUGUACUCAUCGAGUGUUGUGGCACCAAUGCACUGAAAGAUAGAACAGUGUCAGAAAUGUUGAAACUAGGAGCAGCUCAUCUUUCUUGUCAUAGACAUGGCUUGUCAACUGGAAGAAACUGCUUUCUGGAUCCAGCCUAGGUGAGGUCUUUGUGACUUUAUCAGACUAAACCAGAAAAGUGAGCAACACAGAACAAUGGAAUUUGAAAUCAGGCACAUUACCUGCAGUUCACCUCUUGCAAGAGCUGGUUUUAAGAUGUUAGCAGCAUCAAUUGCACCUUCAGCUGCACCUGCUCCGAUCAACGUGUGCACUUCAUCAAUAAAGAGUAUAAUAUCAUCAUUUUGCUUAAUUUCUUCCAUAAGCUUCUUCAGCCUUUCUUCAAACUCUCCACGGUACUUGGUACCAGCAACAAGGAGCCCCAUGUCAAGGGUAAUAACCUAAACAGAGCAGUCAUGAUUAAUUUUCUAGAACAACAUGAUGAUAAAUACAAAAAGGAGCUUUAUACCACUCAAUUAUUUUUAAACAAGCUUGAUCCUUUGUGACUGACAAAAGCCUUGGGUCCUCAACAUUUAAUCAUUUAUUAUUAUUUUGACCAUGCCAUCAACACUUAAUUACUGAAGGCUCACUAAUGAUCCCAAUAACAACACUAUAAAACACCGGUACAGAAUGACAAAGUAAAAUCACAAUAAUAGGCAUGCUAUUUACUAUAAAAACUCUAAAACACCGGUACAUGAAAAAACUGGCGUCAGUACCUGAUAUGGUCCGAUAGACGGUGGAUAUGUUCAACAAGUAUCAAAUGGAUUAACAUAAAAAACAAAAACAAAAAAUAAUUGAUUNNNNNNNNNNNNNNNNNNNNNNNNNNNNNNNNNNNNNNNNNNNNNNNNNNNNNNNNNNNNNNNNNNNNNNNNNNNNNNNNNNNNNNNNNNNNNNNNNNNNNNNNNNNNNNNNNNNNNNNNNNNNNNNNNNNNNNNNNNNNNNNNNNNNNNNNNNNNNNNNNNNNNNNNNNNNNNNNNNNNNNNNNNNNNNNNNNNNNNNNNNNNNNNNNNNNNNNNNNNNNNNNNNNNNNNNNNNNNNNNNNNNNNNNNNNNNNNNNNNNNAUGGCGAUAAGUGGGGUCUGGCAUUUAUCAAAGGCCAAAUACCUAUAUGUGGCAUAUUUUAUCAUAUCCGCCAUUAUCUAAACUCUCCCAUGUCUCGUACCCUCCCCCUCCUCUGUCCCAAUGCUGUUGCUCCAUCUGCCCUGACUCACAGUCCCAGUAUGUCCAUGCAUUGGCAUUUUGGGGAAGUAGUUAAAUGUAUCGAUGUAUUGGCAAUUUUAAAGAAAUUGGCAAGCCCAUGUAUCCGUAUCACCCCGAUAUGGAUACACUGACACACAUAUCGGUAUCAGUGCUGCAUAGCAAAAAAAAUACCCGCAUUGCAAUUCAUGCUACUCAUUUACAAGCACAAAAUAAACUCUGGUAAUGCACAGGCAACAUAAAAGUCGAGGCUAACCUUCUUUCCUUCAAUUGUUUCCGGAACAUCCCCAUUACAAAUACGUUGUGCAAGCCCCUCUGCAAUAGCAGUCUUGCCGACACCAGGCUCUCCAAUUAAGCAUGGGUUGUUCUUUGUACGCCUGCCCAAAAUUUGAGUUACACGCUCAAUUUGAUCCUGUCUGCCAACAACUGGGUCUAGUUUACCCUGCAAGAAAAAAGAAUGAGAUUGUUUCUCUUUGCUGCUAAAUAUCUCCAAUAGGCAAAAGGACACAUGGGAAGGAGGAAAUACCUCUUCUGCCAGCUUUGUCAAAUUAGUACCGUAUUCUUCAAGUGUAGGCAUCUUCUGGCCACUGCUUCCCCCACCAACCCCAGCACCAACAGCUUCUGUGCUUUCACCAACCAUUCUUAUAACCUGCACAGCAUAUAAAAUAUUCAUUGUCUGGACAAAUUAGACUAAAGUAAGUAAUAAUGUAAGAAAUAUAUCAGUGAAGAAAUUGCCUGGGUACGAAUGUUGUUUGGAUCAGCACCAAGGCUUUCGAGAACUCGAGCUGCCACACCUUCACCCUCACGAAGUAGCCCUAAGAGUAAGUGCUCAGAUCCUAUAUAGUUAUGCCCUGAACAAUGAACAUAAAGGAAAAUUAGUACACAUCUUAUAUAUACUUAUUGAAAAAACAAUAGUCUCAAGAAGCAGCAAAAUAAGCAAGACUUGUUCUUAAUACCCCUGAGACUGAUGUGAUAUAGUAAUGUAUCACCUGAGCUCAAUAAAUACUAAAAUUUCAUCAUCUUCAAGAAAGGAACAAUGCAAUAGUGAUAUAGUGAUAAUAUAGUAAUGUUUCACUUUUUUAAUGUAUCACGAGUAUAGUAGUAAGUCCCCAUCCCUGCCAAAUCCUAUGGACCCGCAGCUACCCUGGAUAGGACACUGCAUGGUGAGGAAUUCAUGGUUGGCUUGCCAAAGAAGAAAGGUAACUGCUCGCUAGAUGGGCAAUGAAGGUCGGGGAUGAGGGAUGGUAAAACAUCACUGUUAAGCUAGCACACUAGCUUUCCCCAGGGUUCCUGCCACAAUCACCUAAUGGAGAAUUUCCACAGCGUAAAAGAAGAACAAAGCUUCAUUCUGCACAGGACAUGAUGAUCACUUUUGCUUAAGUAUCAUUCUGGAUUAGUCACUGACUAAGACAAUUGUACAUGUUUAGUGUCUUUAGUGAUCAAACCACUACAUGAAAUCUUACACCACUAUCCAUACUUAAUGUAGACUCUGAAAGUAAGAACAGGAUACUACAUAAAUAAAACUAGAGUAUAUAAAAAAACACAUAAAAUAAUAUAAAAGCAACGGUCAGUCACUGUCCGGCCAAGUACAUAGAAUGACAAAAAAUGGGGCCUAGACUCAGAUAGUCAGGACCAGACAAUGAUCGGGGAUGGGAAUGGGGAAACAUUCAUGUGCUUGCUUCAACAGAAGGUGAGAUGAAUUAACCACUAGUUCCGCACACUCGUCACCAAAUGGGAAUGCAGCUCGAUUACCAUGCCUAGCAGAACACCUUAUGAUAACUUGUCCUCAACUACCAUUCUAUCACUAAUGGAGUCAUAAAUUCGGAUAUUUUGUGCACUUAUCUGAACCAAUUUACACUAGUAUAUAGCAAACUUAUGUGACUAAGAAAAACAGAACAGGGUAACUGAGAAAAGAAAAUAGAAUAAAAACAGACUAAUUGAUUACAAACUAGAUGUAAAUAAAAAAACUGAUGAUGUGCAUACAGUAAUAAUUACAGAAUAGCUGAUCAGAAUGGAUGAAACAAGAGCAUGAAACUAGCUGAUUUUCGUGGAUAAAUGAAGGUAAUGAUUAAUACCUAGCUGGCGAGCUUCUUCAAGUGACAGUUCGAGUACACGCUUUGCACGAGGUGUAAAUGGAAUUUCAACGGCAACAAACCCACUGCCUCUUCCAAUAAUCUUUUCAACUUCCACACGGGCAUCCUUAAGACUGAUCCCCAUAGACUUUAGAACCUUUGCUGCAAUUCCAGUUCCCUCACCAAUAAGGCCAAGCAGAAUCUGUUCUGUCCCAACAAAGUUGUGGCCUAGGCGUCUUGCUUCCUCCUGUGCAAGCAUAAUCACCUUGAUUGCUUUCUCUGUGAAGCGCUCGAACAUGGCCCGGACAACCAUUCUUGAACCUGACCCACGUGGUCGUGAAAUCUGGCUUGCUACAAUGGAGCCAAAGUCACGUUUGAUAACGGACCUUGUAUCCAGGAAAUUUGUUUGCCGCAGUCCUUGAAAACCCCCGAGAGUGAGGGUCCUGGUUGGCGUACUGCGUAACAUUGUGGCCCUUGUGCGCACACGGGACCGCGUAGAGCUACUCCUGUAUGCGGUAGGAGCAAUGGCAGACUGAACCAGAGUCCCCUCCAUAUUGAACUAACCAAAGAACCACAGGUUUACCAGUGCCUGCAAAAAAAAAGCAUUACUCAAACAGAAAACAUCAUCAAAUGAUUGCAAAGCAACUAUGGCAUCUACUUCCGAUGGUAGAUCCCACAUAUGUGCCUCAAAAACGAGGUUAAAAGAAUUCGCCAACCAUUCACAUAUCAUUGAAACAACACCUAAUGACCCCAAAUCAAAGAGCAGUAUAGUACUAUAAGAAAUUCGGGCACGAUGGUUUUUACCAAGCUUGAUAAGUUUCAUGUACCCAGCCAACUUCAACACAGGAUUAUCCACACGUGACUGCUCCAACCAAGAGAAGAAUACCAUCUAAAUCCGCUCGACAAUAGCACCCCAAUCGGAAAGCCCCUACCGUGCGCCUACACGCGCCAAGCAAAAGCCAACAUAUAUCCACAUCCCGGCUGCUACCAAAAUAGCGCGCUCGACUGCAUCCACCGACGAGGUGGGUAAAAACAGGAUUCGCAGAAUUUCCCCUGGAACUAUCCAACCAACCAGCCAAUCGAUCCCCGGAACCACCAAACCCAAUCCACAAAUCCGCCCACCCGAGGGAACGGAAGAGGAUAAGGUUCCCCAUGAACUCCGAAAACAAUCGGCGAAAACAACCGCAGGAGUCAUCGCCCCCCACGAGCGAAGGGCGCGGAGACGGAAGCGAGCGGCGGGCGCGGCGGGGGAAGCCUCACCUCGGCGACGACGUGGCCGCCCAGCGGCGGAGGACCUAGGGAGAACCUUGGGACGGGCGGAGUCGAUAACACGGGGAAGAGAGCUAGAUGCGAAAUCCUAGCAAUUCACAGGCUUAGCUAAAAUUAAUAUAACUACUGCUCCGUAGGAUCCAUGUUACAAUGAAAAGUGGAAUACUCCUACCGAAGAAAUACUACCUCAACUCGUGCACGCGGCGUGCUCGCUGCCUUGCCCCAGGUCCAGCCGCUGGCCGCCGCCCCACCCUCUCGCUCGCUUCUCGCUAGGGCUAGUCGCCUCGAAUUACACGGCACCUGUGUCAAUUGAUAAGGAGCGACCACCCAUGCUUAUCGGAUGUGCGUCGAUUUAAAAGGCCCGGCGAGGCCCACAAGACACACCCCUUUCUCCUCCCUUUUCACUUGCGUGCUUGGUUACCUGCAUGGUUUUUUUUACCUCUUUACACGUGUGUCUUAGUUAAAUCCGGUUGAGAACAAAAACCAUCAUCUACAUAUAGUUUGAUUGUUUUUAUCUUGUGUGGCUGCAUUAGGAAAGCAAUAUUUAUCCAGUGUUUGGUUGCUUGUGCUGCACCGAAUAGACAAAUUACAUGUUGUUUGGUUCCGAACGUCACAAUGUAUGAUCACCACUUCUCAUUAGUGGUGACCUUACCACACACGAUUUUCCAACAUCGUCUCAAUCCUAACUAGAAAACAAAUGAUAGUUUAACAAUAAUAGGGAAAAGUUCAUCGAUGUCCAAUUAGAUGGAAGUCCAUCCUCGUGAGUUGUUGUUUUGUUGUUGUUUCUUCUGUUGUUGCUGCUGCUUCUUCUCUUCUGUUGUUGCUUCUUCUUCUUCUCUUCUAUUGUUGAUGCUUCUUCUUCUCUUCUGUUGCUACUGCUUCUUUUUCUUCAUAUCCUUGUAUGACCUUUAUUUUCUCACAUUGCCGAAGACUCCAUCCUUUUGUUCUUCCAGGCUUUGUUGUCAAAUGCCUCCACACCAUGGUCGGAGUCAACAACAUCAUCAAGCAUCACCUCUUCCUCCUCCGGCACAAGGUCAUCACAACCCCAUUGUAGGAUCCAGUUAUGAAGGAUGCAACAAGCAAGAACAAGCUUAACCUGGGGUUUGAAAAGUGUGGAAUGACUUCUGAUCCAGAAUCUUAAACCUAUUCUUCAGAUCUCCAAAUGCCCUCUCAACCGUAAUUCUAAGGCUAAAGUGUCUGAAAUUAAACAAUUCAUGUGCAGUCCUAGGAUAGUUUCUACCAGAGAACUCAUUUAGAUGGUGUCUGGUUUUCCUGAGGGUGGAAGAACACCAGGCCGACAUGCAUAGCCAGCAUCUCUGAGGUAGAACUUGCCAUCGGGGAUAUUGAUGCCAUCAGGUCUGAAAGCACAUUUGCUCCCUUGGUGGUUUUGGUAAUUCAUGUCAACAUACAUGUUGUUGGACUAACAUUUUUCAUCAAGUAUAUUUCAAGAAUAAUACAGCCUAGGCUUGUAGAUGGAUGAAGAUGUGGACCCCUCAAGCUACAAAGGACAAGCAUUGGCAAAAGCUUCAUGACUCUACAUUUUUGGUUGAAUGAUGAAAGAUCACAUUGAGUCCAUAGGAAAACCAAUACUAUUAAAAGUGAAUGAGGUUUUGAUCAUGAGUCAUUUGCUCAAGUGCUUGGAAAUAUUGCUCCAAAACUCUCAGCUACAUUCUCACAAUUCAAUCUGUCCAAAAACCUAAAGUCAUUCUCGGUCCCACUGAAAUAGAUACACCCGGACCCACCGAGAUACACCAGACAGUGCCACAACCUAAACCCUAGAAACUCGGUUCCACCGAGAUGGCAUUCGGUCCCACCGAAGUGCACUGACAAACUUUCUGUACCCCAUCAUGUUCAUUUCGAAAUUACUGAGUGAAACCAUUCGGAAUUACCAAAAUGAUGCAAGUGCUUUAGCUCAUCACAUGUCAGAGCCACCGGGUGGAUUCAUCCUAUCUCACUGAAACGUGUACGUUCGAAUCUUUUACACUAGUCAGUCUCACCGAGUUCUUCAUCCGGUGUCAUUGAGUUGUGCAUAAAGUUUGUAACCGCUAGAUCUUUGGUGAUGGCUAUAUAUACCCUGAUGCGGCUUGAACUACGUCGGUAUUCCCCAAAGUGGAAGGGAUGAUGCAGCACAACUACGGUAGGUAUUUCCCUCAGUGAUGAGACCAAGGUUAUCGAAUCAGUAGGAGAACCACGCAACACUACAUAAUGGUACCUGCACACAAAGAACAAAUACUUGCAACCCAACGUAAAAGAGGGGUUGUCAAUCCCUCCCGGGUAAAAAGAUAGAUAAAAUUGUAGUAGAUUGGAUAAAUAGAUCUCACGGGAACGCGAGAUAAAAUAAAUAACAAUAAAUUGCAGCAAUGUAUUUUUGGGUUUUUGGAUUAAUAGAUCUAGAAAUAAAAGCGAAUAAAAAUAGAUCUCAAAGGCAAUAUGAUAAAGAAGAGACCCGGGGCCGUAGAUUUCACUAGUGGCUUCUCUCGAGAAAAAUAGCAUACGUCGGGUAAACAAAUUAGGGAUAAUUGUAUUUGAGCCCUUAGUUGUGUCACCCUCGACAGGAAUACCCCUAGUUUUGUAAAACACGCGGUCUUUCCCAACUAAGUUAGCUUGCUUUGUGUUUUUGCCCUUUCGUCAUGGUUCCGUCCAGUCAGCGCCGUUUGACCGUGUGUUGACCGUUUGUGGACUUUUCCUUGGACCAUUUUGCCCCUGCUUCUUCACUCUCUGGCGAGACACUGCCAAGUGGGACCCAUCACCAUCCCAUGUUCCCUUUUAUUUCUCUCCCGCCGGUCAAACCCUAGUCCUGGAUGCCCUUCCCCCCUCUCUCAGAUCCCAUCAGCGCUGGAGCCACACAUCCCGUCCAUGGCCAGCGAAGGAAGGCUAGCGGAGGCCCCAUCGGUGGUGGAGCCACGGAUCCCAUCGGGGUUGGGCUCGACCGCCCGCAGGAGCAAAACCGCCCUGACCCGCCUCGUUUCCGCGCCUGAGGUACGCCUCAUCUCCGCAGCCGUUCAUCGGGGUUGGGCGCGAGCGCCGCCCUGCCUGUGCUCCUUCCUUCUCCCUUUCUCUAUCGAUUCUCUCCGUCUCUCUCACCCUCCUCUUUUCUCUUCCCCGAUAGGAGCAGGGAGCAACCCCAAAGCCACCAUGUCACUGCCCAUGGAGGUCCAUCUCUCGAUCCAUUCACCGCCGCCGCGAGCCCUGUUCGAUCUGGCGCUGCAAUGUGUGAGGCAUGAACUGCAGUGCCUGCGUCCCCGUUGACCCUCGUCCACGCCAACGCGGGCCAGCCUCCACCGACGCCUCCCUCUGGCCCAGAUCCACAGCGCCCCGAGGGAGGCCCAGAUCUCGUCGGUGGCCAAUGUAUGCGGCAGCCGGCGACACACGGUGGGGAGAGAUGGUUUGGAGGGUGGCGCGUGGCGACUGGGGACGCACGGUGGGGAUAGAUGGUGGAGGAGGGUGGCACGCGCCUCGCCCAGGCCUCCUUCCACGCCGCAGCGGCGGAGUCCAAGCGCUCAUCAUGAGGACGCACGGGCGAGGAGGAUUUGGCGAGCUCCGGCGAGCUUCGACGCCGAUUCGUUUGGCUCCGGCGAGCUCAUCCCCCUCCUACAGAGGGCGUCUUUUAAAUCCUUGGCCCGACAUUUUUUUAACACUUGACGCAAUGUAAUUAGCUAGUAUAGCUAGCAACUAUAGACUAAUGAUUAAUUAUAUUCGAGAUGAGACCGACCUUAAGUACUGAUUUGUGUUAAUUACUGGUGUUUUAAUUAGUUUAUGUUGUGUUAAUUAUUGCAUAAAAAGGAUUGCAAAAUUGAUGUUAUGUUUACAACAUGGCAGUGUCCAUUAGAGAUAUUUGGUCCGUUGUGGGUCCCACAUGAUAGUGAGAAGAGUGACAGGUGGUUUUCUCAGUGAUGGGUCCCACUUGAAAGUGUCUAUUCAAAGAGUGACGAAGCAGGGGUAAAAUGGUCGAGCGAAAAAUCCAUAGACGGUUAACACACGGUCAAACGGCACUAACUAGACGGAAAUGUGACGGAAGGGCAAAACCAUAAGAGGAGCAAGCCGCCUUGUGCAAAACCAAGGAUUUUCGAAAACUAAGGGAAAAACUGUCGAGUGGGACACAACUAGGGGCAUAAAAUCGAUUAUCCCAACAAUUUACUGUUGGCAAUUGAUACAACUUCAAAUAAUUAUGACGAUAUCCAGGCAAUGAUCAUUAUAUGGGCAUCACGUCCAAGAUUAGUAGACCGACUCCUGCCUGCAUUGUCGGAUUACGGGUUCCGCCAAACCCUUGAGGUUCGAACACUAGGGUGCGCACGAAGAUCUCUCUCUCCCUAGCUCGCUCUCGCAACGAUCUCAAUGCCUACCUCGGCGAACCCAAACGAAUAAGAGACACGAGGGUUUAUACUGGUUUGGGCCACCGUUGUGGUGUAAUACCCUACUCCAGUGCGGUGUGAUGGAUUGCCUUGUAGGCUGAGGGUGAACUAGUACAAGGGAUGAACAGCCUCCUGAGGAGAGGUGUUCUAAAGCUCGGUGAGCUGGUGAGUUGGCCUUGGUGGAAUGAGUCCAAUCCAAGAUGAGAUCCCUGACUACGGUGGUGGCUACUCCUUUUUAUAAAGGCCCUGGUCCUCUUCCCAAAUGUUUAGGCGGGAAGGGAUCCCACAACGACCAAGUUUGAAGGGGGGCAACUAGUACAAGCUAUCCUGACAAAAGGUGGUCUUCGCCUGCCAAAGGCUCUGGUGGUGAUGCCGCCAUGGGCUCCGUGGUGACCUCCGUCCUGCCGUCCUGCUGGUCUUGGUCUCCUGCCGUCCUGCUGGUCUUGGUCUCGUUGCACCGAUAUGGAAACCUUGCCUGAUGCCUCGGGACUCCUCGCCUGCGCUUGCCCCUUUAGCACCAAAGAGGCAACUGGUACUCUGCGCCCGCUGGCGCCCGCCUGGCCUUAGUCGUCAUGGCUCACGUCACGUGAACCUCGCGAGGUGCCCCUAGCAUAGAUAUCUCCGCUCCUCGGGAGCCAGCCUAGUGAGGCCGCCCCUGAGGAGGUCUUGGUGUCGUCCGCCUCGCGAGGCUUGGCCCCUCGCGAGGGUCUUGAGUGGUUGCUGCUGAAGAUGGGCCGUGCCAGGCCGUUGGUGGAGCCAAGCCCUGGGCCGCAGGCAGGCAAGUCUGGGUACCCCCGUUCCCAGGACACCGACAGUAGCCCCCGGGCCCAAGGCGCGCUCGGACUUGGCUUUGAGGCGAAGCCAAAGGGCAAGUGCGGAGCGCCGUGGGCCCCAAUAGCAUGCGGCCUUGAUUGACGCGUGGCGACCGACGGGGCGUGGGUGUCUCCGCUUCCCCACGCUGUCUCGGCAACCGUUCGACUUGACGAGACCCUGCUGCAUGCAGAAGGAAAACCAUCAUUACCUGUGAUCGUGGAGGCCGGCGGUUGGCCUCCUUCUGGCUAUAAAUGAGGAGAGGGCCGGAGCCCCCGUUGCUCAUCUCUUCCUCCAUUCCGCCUGCUUCUUCUUCCUCCUUGCUCCACCGUCUUGCUGCAACACCCAUGGCACCGACGAAGAGGCUCUCGUCCGCGGAGAAGGGGAAGGCUCGUCAAGAGGGGCUCGGUUUGCCGCCACCUAAGAGGGGGCGCGGUCGCCGCUGCAAGCACGCCACAACCCCGGCUGUGGCCCCUCGCGGGCGCGGACGAACUUCUCCGGGGUCCGGCGCCAUUCCAGGCAGCCGCGGCGGCGCCUCUUCGCGCGGCGGGAGCCACUCGAGACGUGGAAGUCCUGCCCACGAGGGGAGGCGCGCCAUGGCUGCUCGGCCUCCCCGGCCGCGCUUCCACUCGGAGGAGGUGCUGCCGGAGUUCGUCGUGUGGUCGGAGAACCCGGCCGGCACCUGGCUUCAGCUUCCGCUCUCCUUUGCCGGCAAACUGCCGGCCACGGGCCCUGGCAGCCUCUGGCUGCAGGCCGAUGGUGGAGGUCUCCAUCGCGGGUAAUGUAGCCCUAGCCUGCGGCUGGCAGACAUUUGCCCGCGCGCGUGGUCUGAGCAUGCGGUGCACCCUCCACUUCAAGUACGAAGGUGGUGUGACCCUCUUCGUGAGGGUGUUCAGGGAAGACGGUCGCCGCGCCGGGUGCUGCCCUGAAGACAACGAUGGUGACGAAGUGCUCGGCCUUGGCGACGGCCGUGACGAGGAUGAGGGUGAGCUCGCCCUCGGUGACGGCCGUGGUUCGUCUAGCUACGGCAGCUCCUCCUCCGGCGAAAGCUCCAGCAACGGCGGCUACGACCAGCCGCCACGUCGUCGGGCUCGCUUCGAGGACGUUGGCGGGUCGUCCCAUCGUCACGCCCCAGUGAAGCGCGAGGAGGGCUCCGACUGAGUCCGAGGGGCCGAUCCUCGUGAGCAGCCGCGUCGUAGGAGCCGCUUUUGCUUGUCCCUUCCUUUCCUUUCCUCCUGUAUUGCAAAAAAACAAGUAUGGGGCCCUGCGAGGGCGUGUAAUGAACCACGGUGCUUAUGCUACUUCGUCCUGUGUUUAUUGUUUCUGGGUUGUGUUGUGGAAUCGGUGCCUUAAGCAGGUGUAGAGGAGUAACUUAGCUUGGUGCAUCCGGGGUAGCUUCUACCUCGUGAGGGCAUGCGCCUCCUGGCAUCUGGUGGGGCUUCCCUGCUGUCAACUCGGGCGACAUCGCGAAGCUGUGAAAAUUCGUUAGGAAAUCUGUAUCCCUCCUUGCACGAGGCCUCAAGCAUGGGCUGAUCAUGGCCUAGCGCACCACGUUGCGGUACCCGUGGGGCACGGACUUAAAAGGACGGUGCGCCGAUCACAAGCUCAAACGAGGGCGCCCCGCGGAGACCAGGGGAGUGCGCACGCAUGUACUCACACCUGUCCCGUAGCCCCCGCACGGGCGUGCAAGGGAGAGCGUCGGGUAACUGCCGCCCUCCCUGGCGCAAAACAAAGAAUCGAGGGAAGAAACAAAGAGAAGAGGGAGUCCAACCAAGUCAUCGAGAAACGCCAGAACUUCAAAUUCCGUUGAAAGGGGUGCAAACCAACUACAGAAAGCAAAUGAACAGCCGCGUCCGGCACCUAGUCUAGUCUUCUCACCAGCGCGGAGCUAAGUGCUGCCACUAGGACGUGGGAGGGAGCCCCCGAGGCCCGAGGGCGGCACUCCGAAGACUCCGGGGCGUGUACAGCCCCACUCAUUAUUACGUGAGAGUUUCACGAGCAGAGACCUUCACAGGCACUGGGCCUUGCUUCAUGGGUAGAACUUCCGGAGGUGCUGGAUGUUCCAGGCGUUCUGGAUGGGGAUCCCGUCCUGUGUCUCCAGGCGCGUGGCGCCAGGCCUGGAAACGCGGGCAAUCCUAAACGGGCCCUCCCACAUGGGUGAGAGCUUAUGCAGCCCUUCCCUGGAGAGCACCCACCUCAGGACAAGAUCGCCCACCUCGAGCGUCCUGGAGCGGACGCUGCGACAGUGGUACCGUCGCAGCGCCUACUGGUACGUUGCCGCUCGGAGCGAGGCUUGGCGGCAGCGUUCCUCCCCCAGCACAAGGUCCAUCCUCCGCAUGGCAUCCUGAUGCGUCUCAUCAAAUGCCAGGACCCGGGCGGAGCGAUGUCUGAACUCGUGAGGGAGAACCGCUUCUGCUCCGUAGACGAGGAAGAACGGGGUCUCGCUGGUUGGCUUGGUGGCGGUGGUGCGGAUGGACCACAUCAUGGACUGGAGCUCGUCGUGCCAGCCCCUGCCGCAGGCCUCAAGCUUCUUCUUGAAUGUCCUGGUCUUGAGGCCUCUCAAGACCUCCGCGUUGGUGCGCUCGGCUUAGCCAUUGCUCCUGGGAUGUGCCACCAAAGCAUAGCAGAUCUGUGUUCCAAGGUUAGCACAAUAUGUCUUGAAGAGGUUGCUAGUGAACUGCGAGCCGUUGUCGGUGAUAAUGCGAUUAGGGACCCCAAACCGGCUCACGAGGCCCUUGAUGAACUUCAUUGCCGACCCAGCUGGGAUGGUGCGGAUGGCUUCCACUUCUGCCCAUUUGGUGAACUUGUCGAUGGCGACGUAGAGGUAGCGGUAGCCCCCGGGCGCUCGAGGGAAUGGACCCAGGAUAUCUAGCCCGCAGACCGCGAAUGGCCAGGAGAGUGGGAUAGUCUGGAGGCCUUGAUCCGGCUGGUGGAUUUGCUUGGCAUGGAACUGGCAGGCCUCGCAGGAUCUCACCAGCUCGGUUGCGUCGCUGAGUGUCAUGGGCCAGUAGAACCCGCUGCGGAACGCCUUGCCCACCAGGGUGCGCGAUGAUGAGUGAUGCCCACAAUCUCCGCCGUGUAUGUCGGCCAGCAGCUCGCACCCCUGCUUCCUGGAAAUGAAUCGCAAGGAAACGUCAUUUGGUCAUUUUCUGUACAACUCACCGUCCUGGAUGCAAUAUGCCGUAGCCUGCCGGGCCACGCGCUCCGCGUCCUCUUCUUUCUCCGGCAGCAUUCCUUGCACCAGUUAUGCUUUGAACUCCUCGGUCCAGCACCCCUCCUGAGGUUCCAGCUGUCGGUGUCAAAACCGGCGGAUCUCGGGUAGGGGGUCCUGAACUGUGCAUCUAAGGUCGAUGGUAACCGGAGACGAGGGACACAAUGUUUGCCUAGGUUUGGGCCCUCUCUAUUGAGGUAAUACCCUACUUCCUGCUUGAUUGAUCUUGAUGAAUAUGACUAUUACAAGAGUUGAUCUACCACGAGAUCGUAAUGGCUAAAACCCUAGAAGUCUAGCCUAUAUGACUAUGAUUAUAUAUAUCCUUCUUCGGACUAAGCCCUCCGGUUUAUAUAGACACCGGAGGGGACUAGGGUUGUACAAAGUUGGUUACAGAGAAAGGAAUCUUCAUAUUUGGACGCCAAGCUUGCCUUCCACGCCAAGGAGAGUCCCAUCCGGACACGGGUAGACUCUUCGGUCUUGUAUCUUCACAGCCCAUUAGUCCGGCCCAUGUCCAAUAGGCCGGACGCCCGAGGACCCCUUAGUCCAGGACUCCCUCAGUAGCCCCUGAACAAGGCUUCAAUGACGAGGUGUCCGGCGCGCAGAUUGUCUUCGGCAUUGCAAGGCGGGUUCCCCUUUCCGAAUACUCCAAGAUAGUCUUCGGACGCGACGAACGUGUCUGGAUCUGCAAUACAAGUACCACACACAACUGCAGAGAAUAUAUAUUUCACGAGUCCAAUCCGCUGACAACUUUUUGUAAGAUGACAUCACGUCUGCCCGGUUAUUAUUUCGAACCGUUAUCAUCUGCCGUUCCAUGUUUCAAGAUGCGGUUUUCAUUGGCACGUCUUGUCAAAGCAGAGAUCGUGUCCCCUUAUUGCGGGCUUCUCAUCAAUACGGGCGUGGGUAAUCCAACCAUGCCGUUUGCACAGCCCUUGGGAACAGGCGAGUUUUAAGGCGAGUGGGGAGGCGCUUGAUAUUCACUGCCUUUAUAAGGAGAUAAGGAUUCACUUUUCUUCACCCACGCCUUCUCUCUUUCUCUGCCCUUCCAUUCUCGUGCUCCAGUGCCCAAGUCCUCAUCUUUUCCGCCUUAAGAAAGUACUCAACCAUGUCCGGAUCUGGAGCGCAAGGCAAGUGGAUGGCCUCCUCCGUCAAGGAUAAGGACAUCACCGAGCUUGGGGAGGCCGGGUAUCUGGCGAAAGAAAUCGCUCACUGGCUUCCGGCCAAGGGGCAAGUCGUCCCCACCCCGAAGCCCAAUGAGAGGGUGGUGUUCACCCCCCAUUUCGUCCGCGGGUUAGGGUUUCCUCUUUACCCUUUCAUCCGCGGACUUAUGUUCUAUAACGGGCUAGAUUUCCAUGAUCUAGCCCCAAACUCCUUCCUCAACAUCUUGGCAUUUAUUGUCGUGUGCAAGGCCUUCCUCCGCAUUCCUCCCCACUUCGGACUAUGGCUCAAGAUCUUCAACGUGAAGCCGAAGGUGGUGGAUGGCCAACACGCGAAGUGCGGAGGUGCCAUGGUGAGCAAGAUGCCCAAUGUCACAUGGCCCAAGGGUACUUUCCUGGAGACCGUCAAAGAGUGGCAGAAACUGUGGUUCUAUAUCACAGAGCCCCACAACGCCACCUGGGCCGCGGCUCCCGAGUUCAAAUCCGGAGCUCCAAUGCGGCUCACCUCCUGGAUAGAGAAGGGCCCAAAUUGGUCUUCGUCGGACGAACUGAUAGCACUGCAAACGCGCAUCCAAAGCAUGGUGGAUAAAAACAUCAAGCUCGUCAACGUGAUCCAGGUGAUGCUAGUUCGCCGGAUCCUUCCAUGCCAGAGCCGAACAUGCCCUUUAUGGGAAUUUGAUCCAGAGAAGCACCAGACCUUGGAGAGGCUCUUCGGAACCACUCACGAAGAUGUCUGGAAGUUGCUCUUUAAAGGCAAUGAGACGCCGCCGGACAUCGACUCGGACCGCGGGCACGAUCUAGCCCAUCCUGCCAGUGCGGUAAGUCCUUCACAUCAAGGUGCAUUCUCUACUUGCUUGUUCAAGGAAGAUAUCUAAAACUUCACUAUUUAUUUUUUCAGGUAUGGACAGAGAAAGCGGAGCGGAUUCGAUGUCCGGCUCUGUUGCCCGAGGAACCAGUCAUCCUGCUCCUGGCGAAGAUGCUGGUUCCGGCGCCUUACAAGGCGCCGGAGAAGAAGGUCAAGAAGAAGGCCAAGGGGGUCCGGAGUGGCCCCCGCCACAAGGGAGCUUCGGACGUGUCGUCCGAAGACAAGACUCACUCCUCUGCCGCUGAAGACGACGAUGAGGAGGAGGAAGAAAGCAACUAUCCCCCUGAUGGGGGAAGGAAGAAGAGGGCGGCCUCCACAAAUAUGGAGGCAGAGGCGCCCAAGAGGGGGAAGGGCCCCCUCGCGGAUAACUCCGCGUGGGACGUCGACAGCAGCCCAGAGCGACCCCUCGAAGCAAGCCCCUGGCCGCAUCAUAAGUACUAAAAACCCGUAUACGUCCAUGUAUCCGGCCUCUCUUCUUCAUGGUAUUAACAUGUUUAAUUACGCUAUUGCAGUCCGGCCCACGAUAGCUCCCUGCGAUCCUCAUCAGGAGGUUCGUUGGAUUCAAAGGCGAUGGCCAGCGAGUCACCGCCGGCCACUCACUCUCCCACGGCCAAGGGCGACGACGAGGUGCUGUCCCAAAGGACCUUCCCAGGCCAGGGAGAGGUUCAGGAGGCCGUCAGGGUGACGCUAGAGGGCGUAGCCUUGGCCGCCGGACACAUGGGGGAGCAGAUCCCCAUGGAGACUGGCGAUGGGGGCCAUGUUCAGUUCGGCCCCCAACCAAAUACGGUUCCGGAGACCUAUACUGCCUCGGAAUCCGGCGAGCAGCCUCCUUCGAGAGAAGGAGGUGUGCCUAUCCUGCCGGUGACCUCUGUCCAACCAAAGCCAUGAUACGUCUCCGUCGUAUCUAUAAUUUUUUAUUGUUCCAUGCCAAUAUUAUUCAACUUUCAUAUAUUUUUGGCAACUUUUAUACUAUUUUUGGGACUAACAUAUUGAUCCAGUGCCCAGUGCUAGUUCCUGUUUGUUGCAUCUUUUAUGUUUCACAGAAUAUCCAUAUCAAACGGAAUCCAAACGGGAUAAAAAUGGAUGGAGCUUAUUUUUGGAAUAUUUGGAAAAUUCCGGAAGAAAAAUCAACGCGAGAUGGUGCCCGAGGUGGCCACGAGGCAGGGGGCGCGCCCCUGACCCUCGUGGCCCACCCGUAAGGCGGUUGAUGCCCUUCUUCGGCCGCAAGAAAGCUAAUUUUUGGUAAAAAAUCACGGCGAAGGUUUCAGGCCAAUCGGAGUUACGGAUCUCCAUAUAUAUACGAAACGCUGAAAGGGCAGCAGAAGAGAACACAGAAACAGAGAGAGACAGAGAGACAGAUCCAAUCUCGGAGGGGCUCUCACCCCUCCCACGCCAUGGAGGCCAAGGACCAGAGGGGAAACCCUUCUCCCAUCUAGGGAGGAGGUCAAGGAAGAAGAAGACGAAGGCCCCCCCUCUCCCCUUCUCUUCCGGUGGCGCCGGAACACCGCCGUGGCCAUCAUCAUCACCGCAAUCUUCACCAACAACUUCACUGCCAUCAUCACCAACUAUUCCCCCCUCUAUGCAACGGUGUAACCUCUCUCUUACCCGCUGUAAUCUCUACUUAAACAUGGUGCUCAACGCUAUAUAUUAUUUCCCAAUGAUGUAUGGCUAUCCUAUGAUGUUUGAGUAGAUCUGUUUUGUCCUAUGGGCUAUUUGAUGAUCAAGAUUGGUUUGAGUUGCAUGUUUUAUUAUUGGUGCUGUCCUAUGGUGCUCUCCGUGUCGCGCAAGCGUGAGGGAUCCUCGCUGUAGGGUUUCCAAUAUGUUCAUGAUUUGCUUAUGGUGGGUGGCGUGAGUGACAGAAGCACAGACCCGAGUAAGUAGGUUGUUUGCAUAUGGGAUAAAGGGGACUUGAUGCUUUAAUGCUAUGGUUGGGUUUUACCUUAAUGAUCUUUAGUAGUUGCGGAUGCUUGCUAGAGUUCCAAUCAUAAGUGCAUAUGAUCCAAGUAGAGAAAGUAUGUUAGCUUAUGCCUCUCCCUCAAAUAAAAUUGCAAUAAUGAUUACCGGUCUAGUUAUUGAUUGCCUAGGGACAAAUAACUUUCUCGUAACAAAAAGCUCUUUACUAAAACUAAUUUAGUUGUGUCUUUAUCUAAGCAGCCCCUAGCUUUUAUUUACGCGCUCUUUAUUUUCUUGCAAACCUAUCCAAAAACACCUACAAAGUACUUCUAGUUUCAUACUUGUUCUAGGUAAAGCGAACGUUAAGCGUGCGUAGAGUUGUAUCGGUGGUCGACAGAACUUCAGGGAAUAUUUGUUCUACCUUUAGCUCCUCGUUGGGUUUGACACUCUUACUUAUCGAAAGAGGCUACAAUUGAUCCCCUAUACUUGUGGGUUAUCAAGACCUUUUUCUGGCGCCGUUGCCGGGGAGCAAUAGCGUGGGGUGAAUAUUCUCGUGUGUGCUUGUUUGCUUUAUCACUAAGUAAUUUUUAUUUGCUAUUCUUAGUUGUUCUCUAUCUUUAGUUAUGGAUAUGGAACACGAAAUACCAAAAAAUUUAGGUGUACUUGUUGCUCAUGGAGAUGGGGAACCUCCUAAAACCCUCGACGCUCAUUAUGUGAUAGAUAUUAUGUACUACUUUGAUAAUCCUGAGAAAACCCCAUUCAACUUUGUAAUGGGAGUAACGUUGGAUCAACGUGAAUACUUUAGGGAUUAUCGCUUGACACAAAAAGGGAAACUAUUAUGGGAUCAAAUUUAUAUGUUGAAGUGGUAUGCUAGGCAACUAUGCUUGAGAUAUGAUUAUACUUGUUGCUCUAGGAUGAAGGCUCCACACCUUCCCUUUUCAUGCAAAUUUAAUGAUAAUAAAACCUUAGCUUCUUAUGCUAAUGGUAUCUAUGAUUACUAUGAUGUGGAACAAAUAGAAGAAUUUGUUGCUUUUAUGGGUGCUUAUGAAAUUGAAUCUAUGUUUAAAGAGUUUGAAGAUUUUGAUGAUUCGGUUUAUAGACCUGAAAAUUUAGCUAUCCUUAAAUAUUGUUAUGAGAAUUAUGAAUACAAUUACGAUAUUAAUGCACUUAUUGAGAAAGUCUCCGCUUUCCAAGAAGAGACUAAUAUUUUGUAGGAGUCUAUGGAAGAAGAAAUUACUGAAACUGUGAGCUCAUUGGAUGAAAAAGAUGAUGAGGAGAGCGAAGAACAAAAGGAGGAAGAGCGGAUUAGCUACCCGUGCCCACCUUCUAAUGAGAGUAACUCUUCAACUCAUACAUUGUUUGAUUUCCCUUCGUGCUUACCGAAGGAUGAAUGCUAUGAUGGUUGUUAUGAUCCCAUUGAUUCUCUUGAAAUAUCCCUUUUUGAUGAUGCUUGUGGACAAGAUGCAAAUAUGAAUUAUGCUUAUGGAAAUGAACUUGCUAUAGUUCCUUAUGUUAAACAUGAAAUUGUUGCUAUUGCACCCACGCAUGAUAGUCCUAUUAUCUUUUUGAAUUCUCCAAACUACACUACAUCGGAGAAGUUUGCCCUUAUUAAGGAUUAUAUUGAUGGGUUGCCUUUUACCGUUGCACAUGAUGAUUUUGAUAGAUAUAAUAUGCAUGUGCUUGCUUCUCCUACUUGCAAUUACUAUGAGAGGGGAACUACAUCUCCGCCCCUUUAUGUUUCCAACAUGAAAAAAUUGCAAGAAACUGUUUAUACUAUGCAUUGGCCUUUACUAUGUGUGCAUGAAUUGUUCUUUUAUGACAUGCCAAUGCAUAGGAAGAGAGUUAGACUUCGUCAUUACAUGAUAUAUGUUGCUUUGUGCUCACUACUAAAUUACAAAUCAUUGCUAAUUAAAAUUGGCUUUGAUAUACCUUGGGAUUCGGGUGGAUUCACUACUUGAGCACUAUAUGCCUAGCUUAAUGGCUUUAAAGAAAGCGCUGCCAGGGAGACAACCCGGAAGUUUUAGAGAGUCAUUUAUUUCUGUUGAGUGCUUUCAUAAAGUUUAAAAACAACAAAAAUAAAGAGGGGAACCCAAAACUUUUCAAAAAGGAAAGUGAAAGUGAGAAAGACAAGCAUUGUUGAAGUGGGAGAGCUCCUUGAACUUUGUUCAUGCUCACGGCAACUUUGUGAAUCUUGAUUACAGAAACUUUUCAACAAAAAUAAUUAUCCCCUUGUACAAUUCCAUUGUAUUAUAAAAAUAAUGUGCCAAGGUUUGCCUUUAGGAUGUUUACAAUACUUGUUUGUUUGUAUGGUGCAGGACAUAAACUUUCGCUGUAGUGCGCGAUUGUUUUUAUUGGAACGUCAAAUGGUUCUGAUUCUUUUUGCACUGUCUUUCUAUACAAAUUGUUUAUUUUUCCUAAUUUUGGCAGAAUUUUUCAACUAUCAUAAGUAUGGUGAAUGUUUGGAUUAUUACAGACUGUUUUGUUUUAGACAGAUUCUGUUUUUGAUGCAUAGUUUGCUUGUUUUGAUGAAACUAUCAAUUUAUAUCAGUGGAUUAAGCCAUGAAAAAGUUAUACUACAGUAGACACAAUGCAAAAACAAAAUAUGAAUUGGUUUGCAACAGUACUUAGAGUAGUGAUUUGCUUUAUUAUACUAACGGUUCUUAUCGAGUUUUCUAUUGAAGUUUUGUGUGGAUGAAGUGUUCGAUGAUCGAGAAGGUCUCGAUGUGAGAAGAAGGAAGAGAGGCAAGAGCUCAAGCUUGGGGAUGCCCAAGGCACCCCAAGUAAAUAUUCAAGGAGACUCAAGCGUCUAAGCUUGGGGAUGCCCCGGAAGGCAUCCCCUCUUUCUUCAACAAGUAUCGAUAUGUUUUCGGAUUCGUUUCGUUCAUGUGAUAUGUGCAAUCUUGGAGCGUCUUUUGCAUUUAGUUUUCAUUUUUCUUUUGUGCACCAUGCUGGUAUGAGAUGGUCCUUGGUUGAUUUAUAGAAUGCUCUUUGCACUUCACUUAUAUCUUUUGAGUAUGGCUUUAUAGAAUGCUUCAUGUGCUUCACUUAUAUCAUUUGAAGUUUGGAUUGCCUGUUUCUCUUCACUUAGACAACCGCCAUUUGUAGAAUGCUCUUUUGCUUCACUUAUAUUUGUUAGAGCGUGGGCAUAUCUUUUGUAGAAAGAAUUAAACUCUCUUGCUUCACUUAUAUCUAUUUAGAGAGAUGACAGGAACUGGUCAUUCACAUGGUUAGUCAUAAAACCCUACAUAAAACUUGUAGAUCACUGAAUAUGAUGUGUUUGAUUCCUUGCAAUAGUUUUGCGAUAUAAAGAUGGUGAUAUUAGAGUCAUGCUAGUGGGUAGUUGUGGAUUUUAGAAAUACUUGUGUUGAGGAUUGUGAUUCCCGUAGCAUGCACGUAUGGUGAGCCGUUCUGUGAUGAAGUCGGAGCAUGAUUUAUUUACUGAUUGUCUUCCUUAUGAGUGGCGGUCGGGGACGAGCGAUGGUCUUUUCCUACCAAUCUAUCCCCCUAGGAGCAUGCGCGUAGUACUUUGUUUCGAUGACUAAUAGAUUUUUGCAAUAAGUAUGUGAGUUCUUUAUGACUAAUGUUGAGUCCAUGGAUUAUACGCACUCUCACCCUUCCAUCAUUGCUAGCCUCUUCGGUACCAUGCAUUGCCCUUUCUCACCUCGAGAGUUGGUGCAAACUUCGCCGGUGCAUCCAAACCUCGUGAUAUGAUACGCUCUGUCACACAUAAGCCUCAUUAUAUCUUCCUCAAAACAGCCACCAUACCUACCUAUCAUGGCAUUUCCAUAGCCAUUCCGAGAUAUAUUGCCAUGCAACUUCCAUCAUCAUCAUAUACAUGACUUGAGCAUUCAUUGUCAUAUUGCUUUGCAUGAUCGUAAGAUAGCUAGCAUGAUGUUUUCAUGGCUUGUCCGUUUUUUAUGUCAUUGCUACGCUAGAUCAUUGCACAUCCCGGUACACCGCCGGAGGCAUUCAUAUAGAGUCAUAUCUUUGUUCUAGAUAUCGAGUUGUAAUAUUGAGUUGUAAGUAAAUAAAAGUGUGAUGAUCAUCAUUAUUAGAGCAUUGCCCCAGUGAGGAAAGGAUGAUGGAGACUAUGAUUCCCCCACAAGUCGGGAUGAGACUCUGGACUUUACAAAAAAAUAAAAGAGGCCAAAGAAGCCCAAAUAAAAAAAAGAGGCCAAAGAAGCCCACCAAAAAAAUAAAAAUAAAAGAGAAAAGAAAGAAAAAAAUGAGAGAAAAAGAGAGAAGGGGCAAUGUUACUAUCCUUUUACCACACUUGUGCUUCAAAGUAGCACCAUGUUCUUUAGAGAGUCUCUUGAGUUAUCACUUUCAUAUACUAGUGGGAAUUUUCAUUAUAGAACUUGGAUUGUAUAUUCCAACGAUGGGCUUCCUCAAAUGCCCUAGGUCUUCAUGAGCAAGCAAGUUGGAUGCACACCCACUUAGUUUCAGUUUGAGCUUUCAUACACUUAUAGCUCUAGUGCAUCCGUUGCAUGGCAAUCCCUACUCCUCACAUUGACAUCAAUUGAUGGGCAUCUCCAUAGCCCGUUGAUUAGCCGCGUCGAUGUGAGACUUUCUCCUUUUUUGUCUUCUCCACAUAACCCCCAUCAUCAUAUUCUAUUCCACCUAUAGUGCUAUGUCCAUGGCUCACGCUCAUGUAUUGCGUGAAAGUUGAAAAGGUUUGAGAAACGUCAAAAGUAUGAAACAAUUGCUUGGCUUGUCAUCGGGGUUGUGCAUGAUGUGAAUAUUUUGUGUGGUGAAGAUGGAGCAUAGCCAGACUAUAUGAUUUUGUAGGGAUGAGCUUUCUUUGGCUAUGUUAUUUCAAUAAGACAUAAUUGCUUGGUUGGUAUGCUUGAAGUAUUAUUGUUUUUAUGUCAAAUGAUAGACUAUUGCUUUGAAUCAUUCGUGUCUUAAUAUUCAUGCCAUGAUUAGAUACAUGAUCAAGAUUAUGCUAGGUAGCAUUCCACAUCAAUUUUUUUAUCAUUUACCUACUCGAGGACGAGCAGGAAUUAAGCUUGGGGAUGCUGAUACGUCUCCGUCGUAUCUAUAAUUUUUGAUUGUUCCAUGCCAAUAUUAUUCAACUUUCAUAUACUUUUUGGCAACUUUUUAUACUAUUUUUGGGACUAACGUAUUGAUCCAGUGCCCAGUGCCAGUUCCUGUUUGUUGCAUGUUUUAUGUUUCACAGAAUAUCCAUAUCAAACGGAAUCCAAACGGGAUAAAAACGCACGGAGCUUAUUUUUGGAAUAUUUGGAAAACUCCGGAAGAAAAAUCAACGCGAGAAGGUGCCCGAGGUGGCCACGAGGCAGGCGGGCGCGCCCCUGACCCUCGUGGGCCACCCGUAAGGCGGUUGAUGCCCUUCUUCGGCCGCAAGAAAGCUAUUUUUUGGUAAAAAAAUCACGGCGAAGGUUCCAGGCCAAUCGGAGUUAUGGAUCUCCAUAUAUAUACGAAACGGUGAAAGGGCAGCAGAAGAGAACGCAGAAACAGAGAGAGACAGAGAGACAGAUCCAAUAUCGGAGGGGCUCUCGCCCCUCCCACGCCAUGGAGGCCAAGGACCAGAGGGGAAACCCUUCUCCCAUCUAGGGAGGAGGUCAAGGAAGAAGAAGACGAAGGGGCCCCCUCUCCCCUUCUCUUCCGGUGGCGCCGGAACGCGGCCGUGGCCAUCAUCAUCACCGCAAUCUUCACCAACAACUUCACCGCCAUCAUCAACAACUAUCCCCCCUCUAUGCAACGGUGUAACCUCUCUCUUACCCGCUGUAAGCUCUACUUAAACAUGGUGCUCAACGCUAUAUAUUAUUUCCCAAUGAUGUAUGGCUAUCCUAUGAUGUUUGAGUAGAUCUGUUUUGUCCUAUGGGCUAUUUGAUGAUCAAGAUUGGUUUGAGUUGCAUGUUUUAUUAUUGGUGCUGUCCUAUGGUGCUCUCCGUGUCACGCAAGCGUGAGGGAUCCCCGCUGUUUGGUUUGCAAUAUGUUCAUGAUUUGCUUAUGGUGGGUGGCCUGAGUGACAGAAGCACAGACCCGAGUAAGUAGGUUGUUUGCGUAUGGGAUAAAGGGGACUUGAUGCUUUAAUGCUAUGGUUGGGUUUUACCUUAAUGAUCUUUAGUAGUUGCGGAUGCUUGCUAGAGUUCCAAUCAUAAGUGCAUAUGAUCCAAGUAGAGAAAGUAUGUUAGCUUAUGCCUCUCCCUCAAAUAAAAUUGCAAUAAUGAUUACCGGUCUAGUUAUCGAUUGCCUAGGGACAAAUAACUUUCUCGUGACAAAAAGCUCUUUACUAAAACUAAUUUAGUUGUGUCUUUAUCUAAGCAGCCCCUAGCUUUUAUUUACGCCCUCUUUAUUUUCUUGCAAACCUAUCCAAAAACUCCUACAAAGUACUUCUAGUUUCAUACUUGUUCUAGGUAAAGCGAACGUUAAGCGUGCGUAGAGUUGUAUCGGUGGUCGAUAGAACUUGAGGGAAUAUUUGUUCUACCUUUAGCUCCUCGUUGGGUUCGACACUCUUACUUAUCGAAAGAGGCUACAAUUGAUCCCCUAUACUUGUGGGUUAUCAAGGCACCGGAUAAUCUGCUGGAAGCACUACGGGGCGCUUCCAUUGUGGAGGAACACCGUAUCCUUAUGGGUACGGUGAUUGAGAGGGUUCAGUCCGUCAAGAGCAGACUGACCGAAGCCUGUGGCAGCCUGCUGACAGGCUUUGAGGUAAGCGACGCAAAGGAAAAAGCCCUAGUAUAGACAGUAGCCCCUGAGACACUGUCCGGUGUUCAGAAAGAAAAGCCGGACAGAGGAUCAAUUUAUUUUCGCAGGAAACUAACUAAAAGAUGUCUUAUAUGAAUAAGCAGGCGUCGUUGCUGGCCGCAACCUCUCAUGCUGCGGAGGUCUCCGGACUAAAGCAGAGUCUGGAGCUGGCCGAAGAAGAGCUCGGCCUUGUAAAAAGGCAGCUGGAGGACAAGCAAGGUAUGUUGCGACUUGUUGUAUAUUUAGGAAGAAUGAAUGAUGUGUAUUGACCGUAGUGCCAUAAUAUUUGUAGGAGCGGCAACCGAGGUCGAGGUCCGUAAAAAGGCCCUGGCCGAGGCCGAGGAGAGAGCUGCCAAGGAACAAGCCACUCGUAAGAAGCACGAGGCCAGGCUUGAUGAGGUCUAGCAAGAGCUCCAGGAUGCCGUGAAGAAAUGCGAGACCUUGGAGCGCGAUGUUUCGGCUCAAGAGACCAAACUCGCCAAGGCUCGCCAAAACGCGGAAGCGGCCCGGGUUGAAGCCCAGGGCGCCCUCCAGGAGAUCCAGGAGGCCAAGAAGAUCGCGGCGGGUAAGGCGUUUAGUAUGCAAAGCAAGUAUGUGGAGAAGAAGUAUCUCUUACUAACCCGGAUUUGGAGUUCUCCAGGGGUGUUUGCGGAUCUGCCGCGCAGUGUUUCUGACGUUGCGGAAUUCUUCCGAGCCGAAGAAGGGAGCUCAAUGGAGAAGCUGUUCUGGUCGCAAUACCUUGCGCCAGAACAUCCGGUGCCCUUUAGCGAUCAGCUAAAACAGCUGGUCGAGCCGCAUAGGGUGGCCGAACUGGCCAUGAAGGAUUUAAUAAUCCGGUUGUGGCCUGCCGAAGCUAUACCCAGUAGCUACUUCGGGCUCGUGAAGCGGCUGGUGAAUGCCUGCCCUCAGCUAGACGUCGUCAAGCGGUCGGUCUGCAUCGAGGGCGUGCGCAUGGCCUUCGCCCGCGUCAAGGUGUGGUGGGCGAUGAUGGACGCCGUCAAGCUUGUGACCGAGGGACCGCCUAAGGGCAAGGAGCACCGCAUGCCCGAGCGGUAUUUUGAAGACGUCCUGGAGGGGUCUCGUAUUGUGGCGACGCAAUGUGCGCAAGACAUUAUUUUCGAAUGAAUACAUUCAUGUUGUCUCUGCCUUGUAUGAUGAAACAAAGUCGUUAUGUAAUAUGAUAUUUGUUUAAAAAAAUUCAGCUCCUGUGCGGCCGUGUUGUGUGAAAUCUGAGAGUUGGCCAGUCGUCGACUUCUGCCCCCACGUAGGUAGUACAGGGGUGUUCGGGAUGUAAUCUAAACACUCUUGAUCCAAUUGUUUGGUCCUUGAAGGAGGUGUUUAGCGCAACGAACCAGGCAAUCGGACUAUGCGGCUUUAGCACCCUCACUUAGCCAUAGGAGUUUGACAAUAAAAAUAUAGGCGCAUCCCCUAGUAUCCGAACUAGGAUGCUGUGAACACCUGAUCGAGUAAGUACCGAUCCCUCCCGUAAUGCGAAAAAAUCUCUAAAGAUUUGAGACCUCCGAAGAGCUGACCGGCUCUCGCCGCAUCAUGACAGUCAGCUUUCGGCUUUCUCUACUGAGGUGCUCAUUCGGGUAAACCAGGGCACAAUCGCAGUAGUUCUCCCUUUACUACCCUAGCCGAUAUAACGGAACGUAAGGUAGCAAGCACAGGAGCCGGGCAACCCAACUAUUGACCAAAGACAUGAUUCGGAACCAAUGCAUAUAGUGCUAAAUUCGGGGUGCCGAACUAUAUUGUAAAAAGUGUUAGGACUUUGUUGCCGUAUUGCGGGGCGCUAUGAAGCCCCUGGCAAAUUGAAACGUACCAAAGUGUACGGGUGCUAUCUGAUAAAGUUAUCAACAGAAAAGGAAAACAGGAAAGAAGAAAGGGUAGUAAGCUAGGGCCGCAGAAUUUGGGCCGCAAACUGUUUUCAUUAUAAUUUGGUUAAUACGUCUAAGCACAUUCAUACAAAUAGUGCAAUAAGCAAAAGGCUAUUUAACAUGCCACAACCAAGGGAGAGCUGUGUGUGGGUCCUGAAAACAAGUAGAGUGAUUGUUAAAGAGACCACCUAGAAAUUCCCCUAUACGUCCAUGCUUACUGCCGUCUUGGUGUAUUUAUCCUUCGAAAGGACCUGUGAUCAGGCCAUCAAGGAAGGCCUGUGGAAAAGAAACCUGAAAAGGAGAAAAAGGAAACAGUGAAAGUAUGUGUGUCCGGGGGCGGUCGAGCCGUAUUGUGGAUCACAAGCUAGUUAUGCCUCCGUCUAUGCCCAUGGUAUUUUGAGUGCGUAGUUAUGUACGCGCGGUACGAAUGCCGCCACUUGAUCGGGACUCGGACGGAGGCUGAAUUGCUAGUCGAGCUCUUGACGAGCUGAGCUGUCCUACCGCAGAUUAGUCCGGACUCUCUUGACAGUGCCCGAGAGCUCGGCCGCUGAAUUAAGGUUCUGCUUGAAAAGGCCGCUCUGUACUUCUGCUGCUAAGGCAGCGGUGUGCUCCUCGGUGCGGAGGGAGCGUUCCGUGUUUCCAUUAUCUGUUAUGACGCUGCGUGGUCCGGGCAUCUUGAGCUUGAGAUAAGCAUAGUGUGGCACCGCAUUGAAUCGAGCAAAUGCGGUUCGUCCAAGCAGUGCGUGAUAGCCGCUGUGAAAGGGGACGAUAUCGGAAGAUUAACUCUUCGCUUCGGAAGUUGUCCGGAGAUCCGAAGACAACCUCUAGUGUGAUUGAGCCCGUACAACGGGCCUCUACACCUGGUAUGAUUCCUUUAAAGGUAGUCUUUGUGGGCUUGAUCCGUGAUGGAUUAAUGCCCAUUUUGCGCACUGUAUCCUGAUAGAGCAGGUUGAGGCUGCUGCCACCGUCCAUGAGGACUCGCGUCAGGUGGAAUCCUUCAAUUAUUGGGUCAAGGACCAGUGCGGCCGAACCGCCGUGAUGGAUACUGGUCGGAUGAUCCCGACGAUCGAAGGUAAUCGGGCAUGACGACCAUGGACUAAAUUUUGGGACGACUGGCUCUAUCGCAUAGGCGUCCUUGAGCGCGCGCUUGCGCUCCCUCUUGGGGACGUGGGUAGCGUAUAUCAUGUUCACCGUUUUGACUUGAGGGGGAAACUUCUUCUGUCCCCCUGUGUUCGGUGGCCGGGGCUCCUCGUCAUCGUCCUCGCUUUGCGAUCCCUUCUCCUUGUUUUCGGCAUUUAACUUGCCGGCCUGUUUAAAAACCCAACAAUCCCUGUUGGUAUGGUUGGCUGGUUUUUCUGGGGUGCCAUGGAUCUGGCACGGACGAUCGAGUAUGCGGUCCAAGCUGGAUGGUCCCGAGUUGUUUCUUUUAUAUGGCUUCUUCCGCUGACCAGACUUGGAGCCACUGAAUCCGGCGUUGACUGUCGUGUCAUCGGUAUUGUCACCAUUGCUUCGACGUUUGUGCCUGUUGCAUCAGAGCUUGUCGUUGCUGUUUUUGACUUCGGAGGUGCCCGCUUCACUUGCCGUGUUUUUGCUACGGGCCAGCCAACUAUCCUCACCCGCAUAAAAGCGGGUCAUGAGUGCCGUGAGGGCUGCCAUGGACUUCGGCUUUUCUUGGCCGAGGUGGCGGGUGAGCCAUUCAUCGCGGAUGCUGUGUUUAAAGGCCGCUAGGGCUUCGGCAUCCGGACAGUCAACGAUCUGGUUCUUUUUAGUUAGGAACCUAGUCCAGAAUUUCCUGGCUGACUCUCCGGGCUAUUGAACUAUGUGACUUAAGUCAUCGGCAUCUGGUGGCCGGACAUAUGUACCUUGGAAGUUGUCGCGGAAGGCGUCUUCCAAAUCCUCCCAGCUGCCAAUAGAGUUUUCAGGUAGACUAUUUAACCAGUGCCGAGCUGGCCCUUUGAGUUUUAACGGGAGGUAUUUGAUGGCGUGGAGGUCAUCUCCACAGGCCAUAUGGAUAUGGAGAAGAAAAUCCUUGAUCCACACCACGGGAUCAGUUGUUCCAUCAUAUGAUUCAAUAUUCACGGGUUUAAACCCUUCUGGGAAUUCAUGCUCCAUUACUUUGUCGGUGAAGCAAAGAGGGUGUGCGGCACCUCUAUGUCAGGCCACAUCGCGACGUAGCUCUGAUGGAGUCCGUCUGCGGUUUUCGGCCCGGUUGUGACUAGGCUUGUCACGUCCGAACAGAUAGCCGUCGUCACGUGUCGGAGCACGUCCUCGCGAUCCGUAGAUCGAUCUGGUAUGUCCCGCUCUAUUGUCCAGUUUCUGCCGAAGGUCAUAUGUAUGACCACGAGCUGUUUUAUCUCUGCCUUUACGAUGAGGCAGGGCGGGCUAGUGUUCAGAUUGAGUUGCCGCUUUAUCCCGACCGCGUGGUGGUCGGCCAGCCGCAUUGCGCGAUGAUGGUACGGGAUCUGGCGCCUCAUCAUCAAACUGAGGUAGCAAUUUGCGCUUCAGGUAACUUUUGGCUGGGCGCUUGAGGCUGUAUUCUUCGGCUGCUAGGACAUCAGUCCAUCUAUCGUUGAGCAGAUCUUGGUCACCUUGAAGCUGCUGCUGCUUCUUUUUCAGGCUCCUUGCUGUGGCUAUUAGCCGGCGCUUAAAGCGCUCCUGCUCGAGAGGUUCCUCAGGCAUGAUAAAAUCCUCGUUGCCGAGGCUCACCUCAUCCUCGGAGAGUGGAAGAUAAUUACUGUCCUCCGAGUCGUCGUGUAUGGCCUGUUCAUCAGGGCUAACUUGCCAGUUUUCCCGUUCCUCCUGUUCGGAAGUUAUCUCCACGGGGUCUUCAUUAUCUUCGGCAUCGUCCGGAGUAUCGUUUUCUCCCGUGCCAGUAUUGAUGUCUUUUCCACGACGUGACUUAGAGUGGCGCCGCUGACGCCGGCGUUUUGGCUAUAUCAUAGGAGGUUCAUCCUCAACUAGAUCUUCUUUGUCAUCGUUGUUGGUUCUUUUAGGUUAUCCACCAUGUACACGUCGUAAGAAGAGGUGGCCGUCCAUCGUCCGGUAAACGGCGGGUUUUGGCCCUGCUCCUCAUCGGCAUCGUCGUCCAUACCGUCGACGUCUUCGGAGCUGUAAUCGAGCAUGUCGGUUAAAUCUUCGAUAGUGGCUAUGAAGUGGGCGGUGGGUGGGAAGCGAAGUUCUCCGUCAUCAGCCUCUAGUUCGAACCGGAUAUAAUUCGGCUGCGAGCCCCCUGCUAAGGAUAAUGCUUUUAACGAGUUUAACACGUCGCCCAAAGGCGAGUGCUGAAAGAUGUCCGCAGAGCUGAAUUCAACGAUCGAUGACUGAUCGAGCUCGACGCACGUGGACGCACAUGGUUCGGAACCUGUAGCCGGAAACGAGUCCGAGGCUCCGGUGACACAUAUUCCACUCAAGGUUGGUCUGUGUGCGGCUCUGACGCCGCUGAGACUGCGGCAUCCGUGGCGGGCUUGAGCUUCCCGUCUUCGGAUGGCGUGAUCUGCUCCAGAUCUAAGGCCAGUGCAGUUACAGGUGCUAUCUCCUGGGUAUGGCGUGAUAACAGAUUUAAGUCUUGUUCAUCGUGGUGAUGGGGAGCGGCUGUCGUGGUCUCAAAUCCGUCGAAGAUCAAGUCUCCGCGGAUAUCCGCAACGUAGUUCAAGCUCCCGAAUCUGACCUGUCGGCCAGGGGCGUAGCUAUCGAUCUGCUCCAGACGGCCAAGUGAGUUGGCCCGCAGUGCAAAGCCGCCGACACAAAGAUCUGUCCGGGAAGGAAGACUUCUCCUUGGACAACUUUGUUGUAGAUGAUUGAAGGGGCCAUCAAACCUUUUGAGGACGGCACAGUGGAACUCUCAAUGAAAGCACCAAUGUCGGUGUCAAAACCGGCGGAUCUCGGGUAGGGGGUCUCGAACUGUGCGUCUAAGGUCGAUGGUAACAGGAGACGGGGGACACAAUGUUUACCCAGGUUCGGGCCCUCUCUAUGGAGGUAAUACCCUACUUCCUGCUUGAUUGAUCUUGAUGAAUAUGAGUAUUACAAGAGUUGAUCUACUACGAAAUCGUAAUGGCUAAAACCCCAGAAGUCUAGCUAUAUGACUACGAUUAUAUAUAUCCUUCUUCGGACUAAGCCCUCCGGUUUAUAUAGACACCGGAGGGGACUAGGGUUGUACAAAGUCGGUUACAGAGAAAGGAAUCUUCAUAUUUGGACGCCAAGCUUGCCUUCCACGCCAAGGAGAGUCCCAUCUGGACACGGGUAGAGUCUUCGGUCUUGUAUCUUCACAACCCAUUAGUCCGGCCCAUGUCCAACAGGCCGGACGCCCGAGGACCCCUUAGUCCAGGACUCCCUCAUUAGCGCCAGGAGCAAGCGUGCUCCUGAGGUUCGGCCACAGGCAGGGGCUCCCGAGGCUAGUGGUUGGGGAGUUCCUCCUAAGGUGAUGCCGGCUUCGUAGACUGGGGUGUUGCUGAAGGCUUGAAGAGCCACUCCUCGAAGACGCCGGGCUCCUGGGGCAGGCGCCUGGACGCCCUUUUGGCGAUGUCGUCGGCUUCCUUGUUCGUGCCGCGAGGCACAUGCUGUAGCUCCAGGCCCAAGAACUGCUUCUCCAUUUUGCGCACCUCUGCGAGGUAUGCCUCCAUGUGCUCAUCCCUCGGCUCGUACACCUUGUUGGAGAAGUUGACAAGGAGCUGAGAGUCGCCCUUGAUGGUGAGACGCUUCACCCCAAGGCUUCUGCUGCCUUGAGGCCGGCGAUCAACCCCUUGUAUUCCGCAAUGCUAUUGGAGACCUUCUCGCUCCGCUGGAAGCAGAGCUGCACGGCGUAGUAUAGCUUGUCUUGGGUGGGCGAGAUGAGCACGGCACCAGCCCCCGCGCCUUGACGUGCGAAAGCGCCGUCAAAGUACAUGACCCAGCCAUGGGGCGCUUCACUUCCUGGCGAGAGGGAUCGGCUCCCGCCUGCUUUGGGCUCCGGAGCGUCGGUCCAUUCUCCGACGAAGUCGGCGAGGGCGGCUCCCUUGAUGACCCUGGUUGUGCUGAACUCCAACUGAAACGCUUGCAGUUCAAUGUUCCACUCGGCGACUCUCCCUGCAGCAUUGGGGCUCCGGAGCACCCUCUCCAGCGGGUAGGCUGAGAUGAUCUUGAUUGGGUGGCCUUGGAAGUAAUGGCGCAGCUUGCGUGAGGCCACCAGGAGCGAGAGCAAAAGCUUCUGCGGCAUGGGAUAUCGUGCUCUUGCGUCCUGUAACACUGUGCUGACAAAGUAUACUGGGUGCUCGAUGAGGGCGGGAGCGUUGAUGGAGCCCGUGUCCUCCGGAGGUUGCGGUGCCUCUUGAGGUGAGGGGACCUCAGGAGCUUGGUCACCCACCGGGGCCCCCGCAGGCCCAGAAACGCCGUCUUGUAGGGCCUGAUCAUCUGCGGGUGUCGUCGUGGCUUUGGCGAUGCCGUCCUGGGACCGCGCCAUCCCUUCUGAAGGCGCGACACUACGCGGCGGGUUCUUGCCCUGGCGCUCCUCCCGGAUAGCCACCAGCGCCGCGCUGGCGGAGUAGGGUGUGGCGGCCAGGUAGAGCACCAGGGGCUCGAGGGGACGAGUGAGGGAGUCCUGGAUUAAGGGGUCCUCGGUCGUCCGGGCUAUAUGACAUGGGCCGGACUAAUGGGCCAUGAAGAUACAAGACAGAAGACUUCCUCCCGUGUCCGGAUGGGACUCUCUUUUGCAUGGAUGGCAAGCUUGGCGUUCGGAUAUGAAGAUUACUUCCACUGGAAACCGACUCUGUAUAACCCUAGGCCCCUCCGGUGUCUAUAUAAACCGGAGGGUUUAGUCCGUAGAGGCAAUCACAAUCAUACAAGCUAGACAUCUAGGGUUUAGCCAUUACGAUCUCGUGAUAGAUCAACUCUUGUAAUCCUCAUAUUCAUCAAGAUCAAUCAAGCAGGAAGUUGGGUAUUACCUCCAUCAAGAGGGCCCGAACCUGGGUAAACAUCGUGUCCCCCGUCUCCUGUUACCAUUGAUCUUAGACACACAGUUCGGGACCCCCUACCCGAGAUCCGUCGGUUUUGACACCGACAUUGGUGCUUUCAUUGAGAGAGAUCCGCUGUGUCGUCGCUAGAAGGUUCGAUGGCUCCAUCCAUCAUCUACAACAAUACUGCCCUGAGGGAGGUCUUUUACCCCGGCCAGAUCUUUGUGUUUGGCGGCUUCGUACUACGGGCCAACUCGCUUGGCCGUCUAGAGCAGAUCGACAGCUACGCCCCAGAUCACCAGAUUAUCUUUGGAAGCCUGGAUUAUGUCGCUGAUAUCCAUGGAGACUUGAUCUUCCAAGGGUUCGCGACCCCAACCCCCGCUCUGGCCUUAGAUCCGGAGCACAUCACCGGGUCCGAAGACGGGAUUCUCGGGCCCGCCGGACUCUUUGCGGCCAUUGAGCCUAGCAUGGGAGAGCCAGAGGAAGUAGUAUCAGCGGCAAUCAUCAUGAAGCCGGACUCUUCUCCGAACACUGGCCCCGAACCCUCGGAGUCCGCAUUAUGUGAGCCCGGCCAAGGGAUUUUCUUCCCGCUGUACUCCACGGGCUCUCUUUCCCCUGGCCGAACCUCGCCUUUAAGAGAGGCUCUGGACCUAAUGCGAUCACUUGCCAUUACAAAGGAGCAACAUCCGAAUUACGCCCAGCCCGGACUAGGGGCUGAGGGCGGGGAAUUUUACAUCCCACCCACCACCCACUUCAUAGCCACUGUCGAGGACCUUACCGACAUGCUUGACCAUAACUCCGAAGACAUCUACAGUAUGGACAUUGAUGCCGGAGACGAACAAAGCCAAAACCCGCCGCAUACCACACCCUGGGCGGCCACCUCCACAUUCGACGUAUGCAUGGUAGAUACGCCAAGAGAUGAUGGCGGUGAGGGCAGUAAGGAUCAAAUCAAGGACAACAACACUGAUAAACCACCAAAGAAGCGGCAUCAGCGACGCCGUUCAAAACCACGCCGCGGCAAGGAAAGCAAUACCGGCAAUGGAGACAAUAACACUCCGGAGAACACCGAAGACCCAGAUGCCCCCGUCGAACCAAAACUCGAACAUGAUGAUAGGGAGGAGGGGCAGGGUAACCAUGAUGAGCCAGCUGGAAGCGAGGACUCGGAGGACAGCAAUUACAUGCCACCCUCCGAAGACGACAUAAGCCGCGGCGACGAAGAUUUCAUCGUGCCAGAGGAGCCCCUCGAGCAAGAACACUUUAGGCAACAACUCAUCGCAACCGCGAGGAGCCUGAAAAGGAAGCAACAAUGGCUUCAAGCCGAACGGGAUACGCUCAACGACAAAUGGACUAAUGUCCUGGCAGCCGAGGAACACGGCCUUGCACGACCAACCAAAAACUACCCGAAGCAUAAGCUGCUACCUCAAUUCGACGACGAGGCACUGGAGCCCGUACCAUCAACGUGUAACGCGGCUGACCGACCACCACGUGGCCGGGACAAAACGACAACUCAAGCCGAACACCAGCCCAUACUACCUCGCUGUAAAGAUAGAGACACAACAGCUCGGGGAUAUACAUAUGACCUGCGGCAGGACCUGGAAAAUAGAGUAGGUCAGACCAGAUCGAUCUACGGAUCACGGGGACGUGCCACGGCGCGCGAUGACGGCUAUCUAGCCGGACGUGACAAGCAUAACCACGUCCGAGCCGAAAACCGCAGACGGACUCCAUCCGAGCUACGUCGCGACUUGGCCUGAUAUAGAGGCGCCGCACACCCCCUCUACUUCACGGAUGAAGUAAUGGAGCACGGAUUCCUAGAAGGGUUCAAACCCGUGAAUAUUGAAUCAUAUGAUUGAACAACUGACCCCACAGUAUGGAUUGAGGAUUUUCUUCUCCAUAUCCACAUGGCCGCGGUGAUGAUCUCCACGCCAUUAAAUACCUUUAUAGGGACCAUCCCGGCACUGGCUAAACAGCCUCCCAGAGAACUCCAUUGGCAACUGGGAAGACUUGGAAGACGCCUUUCGCGACAAUUUCAAAGGUACAUAUGUCCGGCCUCCGGACGCCGAUGACCCAGCAGCCCGGAGAAUCGGCCAGGAAACUCUGGACUAGGUUCCUAAUUAAAAAGAAACAAAUUGUCGAUUGUCCGGAUGCCGAAGCACUCGUGGCCUUUAAACAUAGCAUCUGCGACGAGUGGCUCGCCCGCCACCUCGGCCAAGAAAAGCCAAAGUCCAUGGCAGCUCUCACCGCACUAAUGACCCGCUUUUGCACGGGAGAAGAUAGCUGGCUCGCUCGUAGAAGCAAUAGCGCGAGCGAUCCUGGCACCUCCGAAGUCGGGGACGGCAAUGGCAAGCCACGACGCAAUAAGGACAAGCGUCACAACAAUAAUGCAGGAACCCAAGCACAAUGGUCAACGCCGGAUUUAGUGGCUCCAAAACCGGUCAACGGAAGAAGCCAUUUAAGGCAAACAGAGAUGGUCCAUCUAGUCUAGACAAGAUACUGGAUCGGCCCUGUCAGAUCCAUGGCAGCCCCGACAAACCCGCCAACCAUGCCAACAGAAAUUGUUGGGUUUUCAAACAAGCCGGCAAGCUCAAUGCCGAACACAAAGGGAAGUGAUCGUCCAAUGAAAGUGAAGAAGAGGAGGCUCGCCUACCGAGCACCGGGGGACAAAAGCAAUUUCUCCCCGAAGUAAAAACAGUAAACAUGAUAUACGUGAUGCAUACCUCUAAAAGGGAGCGAGGCACAAACUACGAGACAACCACGCCAUAAAGCUGGACACCUCAAAAUUCAACCCAUGGGCAGCCUGCUCGAUCACUUUUGAUCACAAGGACCACCCAACCAGUAUCCGUCACAGAGGUUCGGCAGCUCUGGUCCUCGAUCCAAUUAUCGUCGGAUUCCAUCUCACACGAGUCCUCAUAGACGGCGGCAGUAGCCUCAAUUUACUCUAUCAAGACACUGUACGCAAAAUGGGCAUUGACCCUUCAAGGAUCAAGCCCACGACAACUACCUUCAAGGGAGUAAUACCCGGCGGAGAAGCUCACGGCACAGGUUCAAUCUCACUGGGAGUCGUCUUCGGUUCACUGGAAAACUUCCAACGCAAAGACUUGAUCUUCGAUAUUGUCCCAUUCCGCAUUGGCUACCACGCACUGCUCGGGCGGACCGCUUUUGCUCGUUUCAAUGCGGUCCCAAACUACGCCUAUCUAAAGCUUAAAAUGCCCGGUCCACGCGGUACCAUAACGGUCAACAGAAACACGGAACGCUCCCUCUGCACUGAGGGGCACACUGUGGCUAUCACAGCCGAAGUACAAAGCGACCUUCUCAAGCCGCAUAUCUCAUCGGUCAUUAAACCGCCGGCCUCUACUACACAGGACCGGUCAAUUUCAGAGCUAGAUUAGCAGCCCCGCCUCCGUCGUUCGCCUCUUAUACCUGUGGAGUUUGCACCGCACAUACAUAAUUAUGCACUCAAAAUACCUUGGUCAUUGGCGGAGGCACAAUAUGGACAUGCCUAUAAAGCGGUUCAUCCGGACUUUAGCCUUUUCUCUUUUCUAACUAUUUUCUUAUCUUUUUGCCACAGGUGAAUCAAUACCUGUCUGUCCUAUGGACGUGAAAGGACUCUUUAUGAGCCCGGCUUUCCUACAAAUAACCGGGGAUUGCUCCCUUCAAGGAAGCCUUUUCGCGGAAGCACAAGCAGCGCAGACGUGCGACAGGAGGUCCAAAAGAUUUUUUGUAGACCAAAAACUCUAUUUGAAACCUGUACGGAGCCUUUUUCCUCAGCCCUCGACCCUUGGCACGUAAAAUGGCCUGGGUGGUGGUGUCAUAAUCUGUAAGAAUACGUUCCACGUAUCAAUCAAAUUUUAGUGAACAUAAUCCGUCUUCAGUAUUUGCUUUUCCGCAUACAAACGUACCUUGCUUAUUUGGUUGUUUCAUGCAGACACCUCGGCACAAAUCGCCAGGGGCUUGAUACGGCAACAUAUGGGUUGCCGAAAAAGUCCGAAUAGCUCUAUAGCAUACUUCGGCGUCACGAGUUUGGCAUUAUAUGCGUCAGCUCCGAAUCAUGUCUUUGGUCAAUAGUUGGGUUGCCCGGCUCCUAUGCUUGCUACCCUAUGUUCCGCCUUAUCGGCUAGGGUAGUAAAGGGAGAACUACUAUGAUUGUGUUUCUGGUUCACCUGGUCAAACACCUCACUAGAGAAAGCCGAAAACUGACUGUCAUGAUGUGGCGAGAGCUGGUCAACCACUCGGUGACUUAUCAGAAUCUUUUGCGAUUUCUUCCGUAUUACAUGAAGGACCGUUUUUCUGGUCACCUAUGUAACGCAACCAUAUUCGGAUAACUGCGUACAUACCAGGGGCUACAUCGUAGACCCACCGUAAAACUCCUAUGGCUAAGUGAAGGUGUUAAAGCCCUAUAGUCUGAUUGCCUAGUUCGCCGCACUGACACCUCCAUUCCGGACCAAGACGUUGGGUCAAGAGUGAUCAGGUGCUAUUCCGAACACCCCCGUAUUAUAUGCGAGGGGGCCGAAGCCGACGACUGGCAAACUUUCAGGUUAUAAGAAACGGCCGCACAGGAGGAAAUAAUGGCAAAGGUAUAUAACACAGCUUUAACGUAUCAUAAUAUUGUUUUCACAGUUUCGGUACAUUUAUUCAAAUAUAAUAUCCUUCGAGCACUGACCCUCUAUCAAGCGGGCGCCCUCUAGGACGUCCUCCAAAUAAUGCUCUGGCGUGCGAUGGUCCUUGCCUCCGGGCGGACCCUUGGUUGCAACAUCGGUGACCUUCAUCUUUGCCCAGUACAUCUUGACGCGGGCGAAGGCCAUCCGGGCACCUUCUAUGCACACCGACCGCUUGACGGCGUCAAUACGAGGCACUGCAUCGACAAGCCGCUGCACCAAACCGAAAUAGCUGCUUGGAACGGGUUCGGCUGGCCAUAGCCGAACCACGACAUCCUUCAUGGCAGCUCCGGACAUCUUGUGUAGCUUGGCCCACUGGGCCAUCUGUUCAUUCAGCAGCGCCGGACGCCUUGCCAUGUUGAAUUGCGACCAGAAAAGCCUCUCUGCAGCACGUCCUUCCUGUGCUUGGAAGAACUGUGCCGCGUCGGAAACACUCUUUGGCAGAUCCAAGAACGCGUCUGGAGAACUCCACAUUUGGUUAAGCAGAGCAUACUUUGGGUCGCCGAACCUAGUCUGUAAAAGAAAGCGCUUACCAACCGCUAUCGCCCCGGCCUGUCGGAUCUCCUCCCGAGCCGCUCUAGAUUCGGAUCGCGCUUCUUUCGCCUCUAGUAAGGCCUUGUCGAGUUUGGCUGCCUUGGCUUUGUUAUCCUCCUCGAGAGAUUUGCACCUGCUAGUGGCAUCCUUCAGCUCCCGCUCCAUGGUAGAUAUUCUCUCCUGACACUGGCGCCGAGCGGCCUGUUCGGCCUUUAACUUCACAGCCGCCUUCUUGGCUGCCGCGCCGCUCACUCUGGCCCGCUCCUUGGCCCGGGCAAGUUCAGCCCGAAGGGUCUCAACCGCGGCAGCACCAUCUAAAGUUAUGCAUGUCACGGUAUAUGAUUUUCAGCCUCAUGCUCAUACUAGUAUACAUGCAUAAACAAGCUGCCACAACACAUACCUUGUGCCUCAUCGAGCCGCCUGUUAAUAAGAGUGAUGUCCUCAUCCGCUAACUCUAGUUUCUGCUUUAGAUCUGCAACUUCUGUAUCUUGGGCGGUCGCCAUGGACGUAACAGCCUGUGUUCGAAUUAAUUAAGUUACUUCCUGAGCAUAUCUUUUCGAUCCUCUGAUCGCCUCCCUGUGGAAGCCGACCAGAGCCUCAGGGGCUACUAUAUGUACAUGGGCGCAUUGUGCAUGUAAAAAUAGUUAAUCUAUUACAUUGCAUACCUCGAAGCCUCUCAACAGGCCCAUGAAAGCUUCAUUUAAUCCGCUUCUCGCGGACAGAUCCCUUUCAACUACCGUACCCAUUAAGGUACGAUGUUCCUCUGAGAUGGACACACUUUGUAAUAUGCCCAUCAGAGUGUCCGGCACCUCCGGAUUCCUGGAGGCUGCUGCGGGAGUAUGCAUUCCCUUUUAAGGGGUACAUCGGCUCGACCUUAGAGUCGUCUUCCGCUGUAAGCCGGAUAGUUCGGGGCCUUAAUUGCUAGCCCCCGUAGGGGCUGCGCCCCUGGACCCUUGAUGAUCGAAAUACCACCCUCGGGCGUUGUUUUCAUUGUCCCCCACGCCGCUUGAUGGUCAGGGGACAUGCUCCGAGAUGACACCUCAAAGUCGUCCGCCCUAAGAGGCGAGGAAGCAUGAGAAGGCGUCUCGCUUUCCAUCAUCCCCGGAGAUAAGUCCCCUGAUGAGGAGGACUGUCGGGGUGGACUGUGGGCCGAACUGCAAGCAUAUAUUUUAAAUGUUACCCCUGCAACCCGAAAAGAACGGGAUAUGUCUAGAGCAUCCUUGUUCACUUACGAUUCGACAAGGGGCUUGUCCCUAGAGAGGUGCCUUGCGACAACAUCGGCUUUGGAACCCAAGCAUAUGGUAGAGAUACCUUCCCUCUCUUGGGUGCUUCCACCUCCAAGUCUUCGGAUGCAGUCCUUUUCCUCCCAUGAGGGGAAGGGAUAUCACCUUCUCUUUCCCCUUCGUCUUUCGAAGAGGGAGCUUCAGUCUCCCCGGACAUAGUGUCCGGCAUACCUGUGGAGUGGAGGCCGCUUUCGGCCUCUUCGCUCUUAUUCUUGUCCUCUUGCGCUGGCACUUGAUACGGCGCCGGGACCAGCAUCCCCGUCAAGACAGGAUCGGCCGAGUCUUCGGGAAGUGGAGCUGAACACCUAAUUCGUUCCGCCUUGUUUAUCCAGCCCUGGUCAAAGAUAGAGCUCUCAGUACAUCGCUAUGGGAUAAUCAACCGAGUUGCGGUCAGAAAUUGGGUGCUUACCGAGGUAUCUGGAUGGUUGCAGUCGAGACCGAUGUCCUCUGAUGUGUCUAGCCACUGCUUUCGAGUCUUGAAGAAUAGUUUCCUCAUCCCUUCGUGCAUUGUGCCGAAGAAUUGAUGAAGGGUCUGCGGUCCUUCUGGAUUGAACUCCCACAUACGGAGAGGCUGUCGCUGGCACGGGAGGAUCCGGCGGACUAGCAUCACUUGGAUCACGUUAAUAAGGCCAAUGUCCCUUUCGAGGAUACUCCGGAUACGACUUUGCAGCGUCUGUACUUCAUCAGCUGAUCCCCAGUCUAGCCCCUUAUUUAUCCAUGAUGCGGCUGCCCAUUUGGUGUCGCGGGGUUCGGUGAUAUAGAACCACUCCUGUUGCCAUGAGUUGGAGGUUUCUGUGAAGGUGCCUUUUGGCCAGAUAGUGCUGGAAAGCUUGCUCACCAUAGCACUGCCGCACUCUGCUUGCUCCCCGUUAGCUAGCUUUGGCUUCACAUUGAAAGUCUUGAGCCAUAGGCCGAAGUGUGGGGGAUGCGGAGAAAGGCUUCGCACACAACGACGAACACCGAGAUGUGGAGAAAAGAGUCUGGAGCUAGAUCGUGAAAAUCUAGCCCAUAAUAGAACAUGAGGCCGCGAAUGAAGGGGUGAAGAGCGAACCCUAGCCCGCGGAGGAAGUGGGAGAUGAAUACAACCCUCUCGCUGGAUUUUGGUGUGGGGAUGACCUGCCCUUUAGUAGGAAACCUGUGGAAGAUUUCUGCCGUCAGGUACCUCGCCUUCCGGAGCUUCGCGAUAUCCUCCUCGGUGACCAAGGAGGCUGCCCACCUACCUUGGGAGAUGGAUCCGGACAUAACUAGAGAGCCUCGUGACAAUGGAAGAAAUUGAAUCCUAGGCGCUGGAGCCUGAGGUUGGGAAGGUUGAGGAAGAGGUAGGCGUGGGGGGAGAAAGACGGGUAUGCAACCCUUUAUAAAGGCGGAGAAUAUCGAGCGCCUCCUCACGGGCCUUAAAGCUCGCCUAUUCCCAAGGGAUCGCCAACAACACGGUUGGAUUACCCAUGCCCAUAUUGAUGGGGAUCCCGUGAUAAGGGGACACGAUCUCUGCUUCGACAAGACGUGCCAAUGGAAACCGCAUCUCAAAACACAGAGCGGGAGGCUAAAAAACGGUUCGAAAUAAUGACCGGGCUGAGACGUGGCGUCUCACUACAAAAUAUGUUAGUAGAUGGGACUUGUUAAAUAUUAUACUCUGUGCGGAGCUUGUUUUGCAGAGCCGGACACGCUCUCUGUGUUCGAGGACUACUUUGAAAUAUUCGGAGGAGGAACCCGCCUUGCAAUGCCGAAGACAAUCUACGCGCCAGACACAUCGUCAUUGAAGCCUGGUUCAGGGGCUACUGAGGGAGUCCUGUAUUAAGGGGUCCUCGGGCGUCUGGGCUAUGUGACGUGGACCGGACUAAUGGGCCAUGAAGAUACAAGACAGAAGACUUCCUCCUGUGUCCGGAUGGGACUCUCUUUUACGUGGAUGGCAAGCUUGGCAUUCAGAUAUGAAGAUUCCUUCCUCUGGAAACCGACUCUGUACAACCCAAGGCCCCUCCGGUGUCUAUAUAAACCGGAGGGUUUAGUCCGUAGAGGCAAUCACAAUCAUACAGGCUAGACAUCUAGGGUUUAGCCAUUACGAUCUAGUGGUAGAUCAACUCUUGUAAUCCUCAUAUUCAUCAAGAUCAAUCAAGCAGGAAGUAGGGUAUUACCUCCAUCAAGAGGGCCCGAACCUGGGUAAACAUUGUGUCCCCCGUCUCCUGUUACCAUCGAUCUUAGACACACAGUUCGGGACCCCCUACCCGAGAUUCGCCGGUUUUGACACCGACAACGAGGCGCUACCAUCAUCGGAGGUCUGGUCAAAUAUCUCUUGAGGUCUUGAAACGCCAGGUCGGCCUCUGGGCUCCACUCAAAUGGGCCCUUCUUCUUCAUCAGCUUGAAGAACGGCAGGGCGCGCUCCCCCAGCUUGGAGAUGAAGCGCCCCAACGAGGUCACGCAGCCUGCAAGCUUCUGCAUUUCCUUGAGAGUCUGCGGCGGGCUCAUGUCUUUUAUCGCCUUGACCUUCUCCAGGUUAGCCUCGAUCCCCCUGUUCGACACGAGGAAGCCCAGUAGCUUGCCGGAGGGGACACCGAACACGCACUUCUCCGGGUUGAGCCGCAGGUCCACCUGGCGCAGACUGGCGAAAGUCUCCUCCAGGUCCUGGAUGAGAGUCCUUGCCUCUUGAGAUUUUACCACGAUAUCGUCGACGUAGGCUUCAGCAUUUCUCCCUAGUUGCUCGCCCAAGGCGAUGUGCAUCAGUCGCUGGAAGGUCGCCCUAGCAUUGCGUAGUCCGAAUGGCAUGCAGGUGUAGCAGUAUACCCCGCACGGGGUCAAGAAGGCCGUCUUCUCCACGUCCUCCACUGCCAUCUUGAUCUGGUGAUAACCCGAGAAUGCGUCCAAGAAACACAGCAGGUCACACUUGGCGGUAGAGUCGACGAUCUGGUUGAUGUGCGGAAGCGGGAACGGGUCUUGAGGGCAGGCAUUGUUGAGGUUGGUGAAGUCGACGCAUGAUACGUCUCCAACGUAUCUAUAAUUUUCUAUUGUUCCAUGCUAUUAUAUUAUCUAUUUUGGAUGUUUAAUGGGCUUUAAUAUGCUCUUUUAUAUUAUUUCUGGGACUAACCUAUUAACGAAGGUCCAAUUACAAUUUCUGUUUUUUUGCCUAUUUCAGUGUUUCGCAGAAAAGGAAUAUCAAACAGAAUCCAAAUGGAAUGAAACCUUCGCGAUGAUCUUUCUUCGACUGAAAGCAAUCCAGAAGACUUGGAGUUGAAGUCUGGAAUGCCACGAGGCGUCCAUGAGGCAGGAGGGCGCGCCCCCACCCUCGUGGGCCCCUCAUAGCUCCACCGACGUACUUUUUGUUGGGGAACGUAGUAAUUUCAAAAAAAAUCCUACGCACACGCAAGAUCAUGGUUAUGCAUAGCAACGAGAGGGGAGAGUGUUGUCCACGUACCCUUGUAGACCAAAAGCGGAAGCAUUAUGACAACACGGUUGAUGUAGUCGUACGUCUUCACGAUCGACCGAUCCUAGUACCAAACGUACGACACCUCCGUGAUCUGCACACGUUCAGCUCGAUGACGUCCCACGAACUCACGAUCCAGCAGAGUGUCGAGGGAGAGAUUUGUCAGCAUGACGGCGUGAUGACGGUGAUGAUGAAGCUACCGACGUAGGGCUUCGCCUAAGCACUACGAUGAUAUGACCGAGGUGGAUUAUGGUGGAGGGGGGCACCGCACAUGGCUAAGAGAUCAAUGAUCAACUUGUGUGUCUAUGGGGUGCCCCCUUACCCCGUAUAUAAAGGACUGGAGGAGGGGGAGGGCCGACCCUCUAUGGCGCGCCCUGGAGGAGUCCUACUCCCACUGAGAGUAGGAUUCCCCCCUUCCCUAGUUGGACUAGGAGAGAAGGAAGGGGGAGAGAGGGAGGAAGGAAAGGGGGGCGUCACCCCCCUUCCUAGUCCAAUUCAGACCAGAGGGGGAGGGGGCGCGCGGCCUGCCCUGGCUGCCCCUGUCUCUCUCCACUAAGGCCCAUUAGGGUCCAUAUACUCCCCGGGGGGUUUCGGUAACCCCCCCAGUACUCCGGUAUAUGCCCGAACUCUCUCAAAACCUUUCCGAUGUCCAAACAUAGGCUUCUGAUAUAUCGAUCUUUAUGUCUCGACCAUUUCGAGAUAUCUCAUCAUGUCCGUGAUCAUAUCCGGGACUCCGAACUACCUUCGGUACAUCAGAACACAUAAACUCAUAAUACCGAUCGUUAAGCGUGCGGACCCUACGGGUUUGAGAACUAUGUAGACAUGAUCGAGACACGUCUCCGGCCAAUAACCAAUAGCGGAACCUGGAUGCUCAUAUUGGCUCCCACAUAUUCUACGAAGAUCUUUAUCGGUCAAACUGCAUAAUGAUAUACGUUGUUCCCUUUGUCAUCGGUAUGUUACUUGCCCGAGUUUCGAUCGUCUGUAUCUCAAUACCUAGUUCAAUCUCGUUACCGACAAGUCUCUUUACUCGUUCCAUAAUGCAUCAUCCCUAAACUAACUCAUUAGCCACAUUGCUUGCAAGGCUUAUAGUGAUGUGCAUUACCGGGAGGGCCCAGAGAUACCUCUCCGACAAUCGGAGUGACAAAUCCUAAUCUCGAUCUAUGCCAACUCAACAAGUACCAUCAGAGACACAUGUAGCACACCUUUAUAAUCACCCAGUUACGUUGUGACGUUUGGUAGCACACAAAGUGUUCCUCCGGUAUUCGGGAGUUGCAUAAUCUCAUAGUCAUAGCAACAUGUAUAAGUCAUGAAGAAAGCAAUAGCAAUAUACUAAACAAUCAAGUGCUAAGCUAACGGAAUGGGUCAAGUCAAUCACAUCAUUCUCUAAUGAUGUGAUCCCGUUAAUCAAAUGACAACUCAUGUCUAUGGCUAGGAAACUUAACCAUCUUUGAUUCAACGAGCUAGUCAAGUAGAGGCAUACUAGUGACACUCUGUUUGUCUAUGUAUUCACACAUGUACUAAGUUUCCGGUUAAUACAAUUCUAGCAUGAAUAAUAAAAAUUUAUCAUGAUAUAAGGAAAUAUAAAUAACAACUUUAUUAUUGCCUCUAGGGCAUAUUUCCUUCAGUCUCCCACUUGCACUAGAGUCAACAAUCUAGAUUACACAAUAAUGAUUCUAACACCCAUGGAGUCUUGGUGCUGAUCAUGUUUUGCUCGUGAGAGAGGCUUAGUCAACGGGUCUGCAACAUUCAGAUCCGUAUGUAUCUUGCAAAUCUCUAUGUCACCCUCAUUGACUUGAUCGUGGAUGGAAUUGGCGUCUCUUGAUGUGCUUGGUUCUCUUGUGAAAUCUGGAUUCCUUUGCCAAGGCAAUUGCACCAGUAUUGUCACAAAAGAUUUUCAUUGGACCCGAUGCACUAGGUAUGACACCUAGAUCGGAUAUGAACUCCUUCAUCCAGACUCCUUCAUUUGCUGAUUCUGAAGCAUCUAUGUACUCCGCUUCACACGUAGAUCCCGCCAUGACGCUUUGCUUAGAACUGCACCAACUUAUAGCUCCACCGUUCAAUAUAAACAAGUAUCCGGUUUGUGACUUAGAGUCAUCCGGAUCAGUGUCAAAGCUUGCAUCGACGUAACCAUUUAUGACAAGCUCUUUGUCACCUCCAUAAACGAGAAACAUAUCCUUGGUCCUUUUUAGGUAUUUCAGGAUGUUCUUUACCGCUGUCCAGUGAUCCACUCCUGGAUUACUUUGGUACCUCCCUGCUAAAAUGAUAGCAAGGCACACAUCAGGUCUAGUACACAGCAUUGCAUACAUGAUAGAGCCUAUGGCUGAAGCAUAGGGAACACCUUUAAUUUUCUCUCUAUCUUCUGCAGUGGUCGGGCAUUGAGUCUGACUCAACUUCACACCUUGUAACACAGGCAAGAACCCUUUCUUUGCUUGAUCCAUUUUGAAAUUCUUCAAAACUUUAUCAAGGUAUGUGCUUUGUGAAAGUCCAAUUAAGCGUCUUGAUCUAUCUCUAUAGAUCUUGAUGCCUAAUAUAUAAGAAGCUUCACCGAGGUCUUUCAUUGAAAAACUCUUGUUCAAGUAUCCUUUUAUGCUAUCCAGAAAUUCUAUAUCAUUUCCAAUCAACAAUAUGUCAUCCACAUAUAAUAUUAGAAAUGUUACAGAGCUCCCACUCACUUUCUUGUAAAUACAGGCUUCUCCAAAAGUCUGUAUAAAACCAUAUGCUUUGAUCACACUAUCAAAACAUUUAUUCCAACUCCGAGAUGCCUACACCAGUCCAUAAAUGGAUCGCUGGAGCUUGCACACUUUGUUAGCAUCCUUUGGAUCGAUAAAACCUUCAGGUUGCAUCAUAUACAACUCUUCUUCCAGAAAUCCAUUCAGGAAUGCAGUCUUUACAUCCAUUUGCCAAAUUCAUAAUCAUAAAAUGCAGCAAUUGCUAACAUGAUUCGGACGGACUUAAGCAUCGCUACGGGUGAGAAGAUCUCAUCGUAGUCAACUCCUUGAACUUGUCGAAAACCUUUCGCAACAAGUCGAGCUUUGUAGGCAGUAACAUUACCGUCAGCGUCAGUCUUCUUCUUGAAGAUCCAUUUAUUCUUGAUGGCUUGCCGGUCAUCGGGCAAGUCAACCAAAGUCCACACUUUGUUCUCAUACAUGGAUCCCAUCUCAGAUUUCAUGGCCUCAAGCCAUUUCGCGGAAUCUGGGCUCAUCAUCGCUUCCUCAUAGUUCGUAGGUUCGUCAUGGUCAAGUAACAUGACCUCUAGAACAGGAUUACCGUACCACUCUGGUGCGGAUCUUAUUCUGGUUGACCUACGAGGAUCGGUAGUAACUUGAUCUGAAGUUACAUGAUCAUCAUCAUUAGCUUCCUCACUAAUUGGUGUAGCAGUCACAGGAAUAGAUUUCUGUGAUGAACUACUUUCCAAUAAGGGAGCAGGUACAGUUACCUCAUCAAGUUCUACUUUCCUCCCACUCACUUCUUUCGAGAGAAACUCCUUCUCUAGAAAGGAUCCAUUCUUAGCAAUGAAUGUCUUGCCUUCGGAUCUGUGAUAGAAGGUGAACCAAAAGUCUCCUUUGGGUAUCCUAUGAAGACACGUUUCUCCGAUUUGGGUUCGAGCUUAUCAGGUUGAAGCUUUUUCACAUAAGCAUCGCAGCCCCAAACUUUGAGAAACGACAACUUUGGUUUCUUGCCAAACCAUAGUUCAUAAGGUGUCAUCUCAACGGAUUUAGAUGGUACCCAAUUUAACGUGAAUGCAACCGUCUCUAAAGCAUAACCCCAAAAUGAUAGCGGUAAAUCAGUAAGAGACAUCAUAGAUCGCACCAUAUCUAGUAACGUACGAUUACGAUGUUCGGACACACCAUUACGCUGUGGUGUUCCGGGCGGCGUGAGUUGCGAAUCUAUUCCGCAUUGUUUCAAAUGAAGGCCAAACUCGUAACUCAAAUAUUCUCCUCCACGAUUAGAUCGUAGAAACUUUAUUUUCUUGUUACGAUGAUUUUCCACUUCACUCUGAAAUUCUUUGAACUUUUCAAAUGUUUCAGACUUAUGCUUCACCAAGUAGAUAUACCCAUAUCUGCUCAAAUCAUCUAUGAGGUGAGAAAAUAACGAUACCCGCCGCGAGCCUCAACAUUCAUUGGACCACAUACAUUAGUAUAUAUGAUUCCAACAAAUCUGUUGCUCGCUCCAUUGUUCCGGAGAACGAAGUUUUAGUCAUCUUGCCCAUGAAGCAUGGUUCGCAAGUACCAAGUGAUUCAUAAUCAAGUGAUUCCAAAAGUCCAUCAGAAUGGAGUUUCUUCAUGCGCUUUACACCAAUAUGACCCAAACGGCAGUGCCACAAAUAAGUUGCACUAUCAUUACCAACUCUGCAUCUUUUGGCUUCAAUAUUAUGAAUAUGUGUAUCACUGCUAUCGAGAUUCAAUAAAAAUAGACCACUCUUCAUGGGUGCAUGACCAUAAAAGAUAUUACUCAUAUAAAUUGAACAACCAAUAUUCUCUGAUUUAAAUGAAUAACCGUCUCGCAUCAAACAAGAUCCAGAUAUAAUGUUCAUUCUUAACGCUGGCACUAAAUAACAAUUAUUUAGGUCUAAAACUAAUCCCGAAGGUAGAUGUAGAGGUAGUGUGCCGACCGCGAUCACAUCGACUUUGGAACCAUUUCUCGCGCGCAUCGUCACCUCGUCCUUAGCCAAUCUUCGCUUAAUCCGUAGUCCCUGUUUGGAGUUGCAAAUAUUAGCAACAGAACCAGUAUCAAAUACCCAGGUGCUACUGCGAGCAUUGGUAAGGUACACAUCAAUAACAUGUAUAUCACAUAUACCUUUUUUCACCUUGCCAUCCUUCUUAUCCGCCAAAUACAUGGGGCAGUUUCGCUUCCAGUGACCAGUCCCUUUGCAGUAGAAGCACUCAGUCUCAGGCUUAGGUCCAGACUUGGGCUUCUACACUUGAGCAGCAACUUGCUUGCCGUUCUUCUUGAAGUUCCCCUUCUUCCCUUUACCCUUUUUCUUGAAACUGGUGGUCUUGUUGACCAUCAACACUUGAUGCUUCUUCUUGAUUUCUACCUCCGCAGCCUUUAGCAUUGCGAAGAGCUCGGGAAUUGUCUUAUCCAUCCCUUGCAUGUUAGAGUUCAUCACAAGCUCUUGUAGCUUGGUGGCAGUGAUUGAAGAAUUAUGUCAAUGACACUAUCAUCAGGAAGAUUAACUCCCAGUUGAAUCAAGUGAUUAUUAUACCCAGACAUUUUGAGUAUAUGUUCACUGACAGAACUGUUUCCCUCCAUCUUGCAGCUAUAGAACUUAUUGGAGACUUCAUAUCUCUCAAUCCGGGCAUUUGCUUGAAAUAUUAACUUCAACUCCUGGAACAUCUCAUAUGCUCCAUGACGUUCAAAACGUCAUUGAAGUCCCGGUUCUAAGCCGUAAAGCAUGGCACACUGAACUAUCGAGUAGUCAUCAGCUUUGCUCUGCCAGACGUUCAUAACACCUGGCGUUGCUCCUGCAGCGGGUCUGGCACCUAGCGGUGCUUCCAGGACGUAAUUCUUCUGUGCAGCAAUGAGGAUAAUCCUCAAGUUACGGACCCAGUCCAUGUAAUUGCUACCAUCAUCUUUCAACUUUGCUUUCUCAAGGAACGCAUUAAAAUUCAACGGAACAACAGCACGGGCCAUCUAUCUACAACAACAUAGACAUGCAAAAUACUAUCAGGUACUAAGUUCAUGAUAAAUUAAAGUUCAAUUAAUCAAAUUACUUAAGAACUCCCACUUAGACAGACAUUCAUCUAAGUGAUCACGUGAUCCAAAUCAACUAAACCAUGUCCGAUCAUCACGUGAGAUGGAGAAGUUUUCAAUGGUGAACAUCACUAUGUUGAUCAUAUCUACUAUAUGAUUCACGCUCGACCUUUCGGUAUCAGUGUUCUGAGGCCAUAUCUGCAUAUGCUAGGCUCGUCAAGUUUAACCCGAGUAUUCUGCGAUUGCAAAAACUGGCUUGCACCUGUUGUAUGUGAACGUAGAGCUUAUCAAACCCUAUCAUCACGUGGUGUCUCGGCACGACGAACUUUCACAACGGCGCAUACUCAGGGAGAACACUUGUACCUUGAAAUUUAGUGAGAGAUCAUCUUAUAAUGCUACCGCCGAACUAAGCAAAAUAAGAUGCAUAAAGGAUAAACAUCACAUGCAAUCAAUAUAAGUGAUAUGAUAUGGCCAUCAUCAUCUUGUGCCUUUGAUCUCCAUCUCCAAAGCACCAUCAUGAUCACCAUCGUCACCAGCGCGACACCUUGAUCUCCAUCGUAGCAUCGUUGUCGUCUCGCCAAAUAUUGCUUCUACGACUAUCGCUACCGCUUAGUGAUAAAGUAAAGCAAUUACAUGGCGAUUGAAUUUCGUACAAUAAAGCGACAACCAUAUGGCUCUUGCCAGUUGCCGAUAACUUCGUUACAAAACAUGAUCAUCUCAUACAAUAAAAUUUAGCAUCAUGUCUUGACCAUAUCACAUCACAACAUGACCUGCAAAAACAAGUUAGACGUCCUCUACUUUGUUGUUGCAAGUUUUACGUGGCUACUAUGGGCUGAGCAAGAACCGUUCUUACCUACGCAUCAAAACCAAAACGAUUUUUCAUGAAGUAUGUGCUGUUUUAACCUUCAACAAGGACUGGGCGUAGCCACACUCGAUUCAACUAAAGUUGGAGAAACUGACACCCACUAGCCACCUGUGUGCGAAGCACGUCGGUAGAACCAGUCUCGCGUAAGCGUACGCGUAAUGUCGGUCUUGGCCGCUUCAUCCAACAAUACCACCGAAUCAAAGUAUGACAUGCUGGUAAGCAGUAUGACUAUUAUCGCCCACAACUCACUUGUGUGCUACUCGUGCAUAUAACAUCUACGCAUAAACCUGGCUCUGAUACCACUGUUGGGGAACGUAGUAAUUUCAAAAAAAAUCCUACGCACACGCAAGAUCAUGGUGAUGCAUAGCAACGAGAGGGGAGAGUGUUGUCCACGUACCCUCGUAGACCGAAAGCGGAAGCAUUAUGACAAUGCGGUUGAUGUAGUCGUACGUCUUCACGAUCGACCGGUACCGAACGUACGGCACCUCCGCGAUCUGCACACGUUCAGCUUGGUGACGUCCCACGAACUCACGAUCUAGUAGAGUGUCAAGGGAGAGCUUUGUCAGCACGACGGCAUGAUGACGGUGAUGAUGAAGCUAUCGGCGCAGGGAUUCGCCUAAGCACUACGACGAUAUGACUGAGGUGGAUUAUGGUGGAGGGGGGCACCGCACACGGCUAAGAGAUCAAUGAUCAACUUGUGUGUCUAUGGGGUGCCCCCUUCCCCCGUAUAUAAAGGAGUGGAUGAGGGGGGAGGGCCGGCCCCCUAUGGCGCGCCCUGGAGGAGUCCUACUCCCACUGGGAGUAGGAUUCCCCCCUUCCCUAGUCGGACUAGGAGAGAAGGAAGGGGGAGAGAGGGAGGAAAUAAAGGGGGGCGCUGCCCCCCUUCCUAGUCCAAUUCGGACCAGAGGGGCAGGGGGCGUGUGGCCCGCCCUGGCUGCCCCUCUCUCUCUCUCCACUAAGGCCCAUUAGGGCCCAUAUACUCCCCGGGGGGUUCUGGUAACCCCCCCUCCGGUAUAUGCCCGAACUCUCUCGAAAUCUUUCCGAUGUCCAAACUAGGCUUCCGAUAUAUCGAUCUUUAUGUCUCGACCAUUUCGAGAUUCCUCGUCCUGUCCGUGAUCAUAUCCGGGACUCCGAACUACCUUCGGUACAUAAAAACACAUAAACUCAUAAUACCGAUCGUCACCGAACGUUAAGCAUGCGGACCCUACGGGUUCGAGAACUAUGUAGACAUGACCGAGACACGUCUCCGGUCAAUAACCAAUAGCGGAACCUGGAUGCUCAUAUUGGCUCCCACAUAUUCUACGAAGAUCUUUAUCGGUCAAACCGCAUAACGAUAUACGUUGUUCCCUUUGUCAUCGGUAUGUUACUUGCCCGAGAUUCGAUCGUCGGUAUCUCAAUACCUAGUUCAAUCUCGUAACUGGUAAGUCUCUUUACUCGUUCCGUAAUGCAUCAUCCCGCAACUAACUCAUUAGCCACAUUGCUUGCAAGGCUUGUAGUGAUGUGCAUUACAGAGAGGGCCCAGAGAUACCUCUCCGACAAUCGGAGUGACAAAUCCUAAUCUCGAUCUAUGCCAACACAACAAGUACCAUCGGAGACACCUGUAGAGCACCUUUAUAAUCACCCAGUUAUGUUGUGACGUUUGGUAGCACACAAAGUGUUCCUCCGGUAUUCGGGAGUUGCAUAAUCUCAUAGGCAUAGGAACAUGUAUAAGUCAUGAAGAAAGCAAUAGCAAUAUACUAAACGAUCAAGUGCUAAGCUAACGGAAUGGGUCAAGUCAAUCACAUGAUUCUCUAAUGAUGUGAUCCCGUUAAUCAAAUGACAACUCAUGUCUAUGGCUAGGAAACUUAACCAUCUUUGAUUCAACGAGCUAGUCAACUAGAGGCAUACUAGUGACACUCUGUUUGUCUAUGUAUUCACACAUGUACUAAGUUUCCGGUUAAUACAAUUCUAGCAUGAAUAAUAAACAUUUAUCAUGAUAUAAGGAAAUAUAAAUAACAACUUUAUUAUUGCCUCUAGGGCAUAUUUCCUUCACUUCUUUCGCCUAUAUAUACUCUUAUACCCUAAAAACAUCAGGGGGAGCCAUGAAACCACUUUUCCAUCGCCGCAACCUUUUGUACCCGUGAGAUACCAUCUU